rnacentral:lncRNA from 1 species
GGGUCAGUCUUCAGCCCUGAGGUUCUUGACCUCACCGAGGAAGACCUGAUGGACAAGUUUGCUUCUGGUGUGUCCAUGGUUGCCUCACUGUCCCUGGCGAUCUCAUACCCCACCAUGGCUGCUGCGCCACACAUGUUCCUCAAUGCAUACAAGAAUGUUCUUGCGGUUGCUUUGGAGACAGACUACUCAUAUGAUCAUGCUGAUAAGAUCAAGGAGUACCUCAAGGUAAUUCUUGUUCUACAAUGUUUUGAUCCCACUAUGAAAUCUUAAUUUGAAACAUGCAUUAGAAUUUGUUCUUGAACAAUGGCAUGAACUGACAAGUGAUAUUUUUGGAUAGUGUUAUCUCUUCAGUACCCUUAAUUUAAUCCUGCGGUUUGUGAGAUUUGUUUUUGGUAGUCAUCAUGGUAUAAAACAUGACAUGCCAUCUCACAUUUGGCACAUGUUUCAUCAUACUCCUGAGCAACUGCAUCAUUGUUAGCUAAGCUAGUCAUCUGUUCUUUUCUAACCAAUUCUGGAGCUUAACAAUUUAUAUGUUUGGAUUGUGUUAGCCUCUUCCUGUCCCCUUUGUGUAAUCUUGCUGUUUGUGAGAAGUGUUUUUAUUGGAGUCAUCAUCGUAUAAUCAUGGUGUAAUACAUGACAUGCCGUCUCAUAUCUGUAACAUGUUUCAUCAUAUUCAUGAGCAACUGCAUCAUUGUUAGCUAAGCUAGUCAUGCUUGUAUGGUUCUUCCUACUACAGCCUAAUUCUGAAUUCUGCAUUUCCAUGUCAGUUUUUUGACACAAUACGUGUUGUUUUGGUGUGCAGGACCCAAGCAAGUUUGCCGUUGCUGCCCCUGCUGCUGCUGCCUCCGGUGGUGCUGCCGCCGCUGCCCCGAAGGAGGAGGAGAAGAAGGACGAGCCCGAGGAGGAAUCAGAUGGCGAGAUGGGAUUCAGCCUGUUCGACGACUAAGCUGUGUGCCUUCCUUCAUAAAGCCGUGUCCAGUCGCCAGUUUUGUUAAGUGUUGAACACUGAAGUUUUUCAAGUCUUAUUAUUACCUUGAACAAGAAUUAAUUAUGCUGUUUGUUAGUGUGUAUUCGAAUAUGUUAACGUUAUGUUAUGCACUUAGUUACUUAUGCAUUGCUCUGCUUUGUGCUUCUCUCUUUUAUGUUUGCUGGGAUUCACUUCGUUAGAUUUUAAGUAGGCUUGUUCAUCGAUUGCUCUGUUCAGACAGGCUUCAUUCAUCCAGCAAAAGUAAUGGUAUCUGUUCAAGUCAGAUUUUAAGUUUUUGGGAUCGAGCGCUGAUUUGGCCGGUGGAUGCAAUGCUCCGAUCCUGAAGCAAGCCUUGGUCUUUCAACCGAGCGAGCGAUUUCUGUGACAUAUCUUUGUACUCUUUCUCCCCCACUCUGCCCUCAGAUCCUGCGGAGAUCGACGGCCAGCCACUGGAUCGGCUGGCACUGGGCCGUGGGGGCGGAGGUAUGGGAUGGACCUGGGUGCUGCUGCUCGCGUCGGAGAGGGCGCUCUGUUUUUCUACAGAAGCUCGACGUGACCGCGCCGUGCAGCUGAUUCCUUUAUGCCGCCCUGCCUUUUCUACAGGAGCUCCAAAUACACCGCCGCCGCUGCAACGUCGAUUUUGGGGGAUCACAGACUCUAGGGCGUGUUUGGUUGUCUGCAUAUGGACUUGCUGCAUUAGGAGAUCAACAUUGGCACGUUGUUUGGUUGCCUGUCCGACAUGACGAGCAUGGAGUGGUGGACGAGCGACCCCGUCGGCGGCACGGCGAGUGACAUUGUCGGCAAACUAGUUACGGUUCUCGAGCGAAGACAGUGGACAGAGGAGGAGAAUGUAGUGCUCGCGCCAUCGUAUCGUCAGUGCAGUGGACGAGAGAGGAGGCCGAGAUGAUCAAUGCGCGGAGGGACGAAUAUGAGGGCUCUGAGCAGAGGACAGAGGAGCUCGAUAUGGCGGCAUUAGUGCAGUAGACUGUUGUUCAAAGAGAGAUGAAGCUACGAUUAUCGAAACCAAAAGCUUACAACACGAAUGUUGUGAGGAACUGCGAGAUUAGUCUGCUGGACAAAGAAAAUUUCAAACAAUCGAUCGUGCGCGAUGAAUCUGACAAAAUUCGUCCAAAACAGCUCCAAACGGGAACACAUGAUUAAAAACUUACGGCCGACGAAACUACGAACCGAUCGCCUGAAUGGAACCGUAGCAUCGAGGUGCAUCUUUUUCGUGUAGAGCUUACCUCGAAUCGAAGCACUGUUGUGUAGAUCAGAGAGAGGAGAUUAGAUAGAAGCUUAAUGAAGGUUGAAAAAGACCUCACUUAAUCACCUUACAUCUUUCCAGCAAGCCAGGCUCUGGGCUGCUUUAAGAAGCGUGCGGUGCAGACCCAACAGUGAAAACGAGCAACCAAACAGAUUUCUUUCUUCCCGUGCGGGCCUGGCUGGCCCCUAUGCGGGCAACCAAACACGCCUCUAGAUGCAUGUGAGACUUUAGCUUUUGUGUGUAUCCAUGACAACCUUCAAGUCAAAUCAUUAGAUGGAAAUGGAUGUCACAAACGAUCAGACGUUGUUUAAGCUUUGUUGGUUCGUAGGCCUCAGAAUAUGAUUCUUUAUCAUAAUGUCCUCAAUGAUAAACAUUAUGAACUUUCAACCUUUUGUCAGAUGGUCAAAAUUUACAUUUUUUGGUAAUGUCCACAUGGCGACAUGGCAGUUUUUUUUCUUCACUUUAUUGGCAUGGCAAAAUUUACUCUUUUAAUUGCAAUGGAAAUUUUACCUUUGUCAACAUGGCAAAUUUAACUACACCGCCAUGGGAAAUUCUUCACUUCUAUUGCCAAUAGCAAAAUGUACUUUUUAUUUGCCAUGGCAUAUUUACAUUAUUAACCAUGGCAAAAUUACUUAUAUUGUCAUGGCAAAUUUACCUUUGACAUGUCAAUUUAAUAGCUCAUGGCAAUUUUUCCUUUUCAUGGGACCAUGGUAAAUUGGCUAUGGCAAUUUUACUUCGAGUAUAUUGAGCAUGGCAAAUGAACAAGAAACAAAGUCUACAAUCAUUGAGUACAUUGAGCAUACCAUGACGCAAAAAAUUACGUGGAAUGGUCACAUGUUUUUUUUUUUUUGAAAAAGUGUCUUAUACAUCAUAGCAAGUUUUGGAACAUUUUUUUGAAUAGCCACAUGACAAAUGUAUGCAUUUUCUAUCUUCAAAACAUGUUACCAUUUUAAGAACAUGUCAAUUUUACUUUGUAGCAUGGUAAAUUUACUUUUAUUGUGAUGACAUUUUUUACAUUUAUUGUCAUGUCAAUUUUACUUUAUUUUCUUACCAUGUCAAUUUUACCAUUUUAUUUUGGUCACGGCAAAUUUACCUUUUUCUGCCACUGCAAAUUUACCUUCAUUGUCAUGGCAAUUUUAAUUUAACAUUUAUGACAAAUUUACUUUUAUGGCUUAUGUCAGAUUUACUUUUACGGAGCAUGGAAUGUUUACUUUUAUUGCCAUGGCAAAAAUACUUUGCGUUCAUGGAAAAUUUUGCUCUUUCCACCGUUCAUGGGAAUUUUUGCUUCUAAAGACCAUGGUAAAUUUACUUUACGAGACAUGGCAAUUACUAAUAAACAAUAUAAGGUGCACUUUAUUGUGUUCCACUGAUGACAAAUUUUAAUCCACAAAUUUUUGUGCGUAUAUAGUAAAAAUAUCAUACAAAUUGUAAUCCGCAUUUUUCUGCCACCAUGUACACAUGGAAAUUGCCAUGACUUUUUUUUGUGCAUUUUCAUGAAAAGAAAAUCCUUUUGACCAUGUCAAAAUUUGCUUUAAAGACGAUGAAAGUUUUUGGUUUGAACCACUAGGAUAUUUAGUUCUCUAUCACGACAAAUUUGUUUCCCCCCUUAUUGGAUCAUUGCAAUUUUUUAAUAUCAUGUCAAAAUCUAGACUUUUAUUAAUAACCGCCAAAACUGGGCUUUUCAGUCAGAGUACAAACUGGGCCAAACUAGGAUUUACUUUUUCUUGCAAAAAUGGCAUGUACGGACGCGGGAGGUGGCUGUUCGGUCUUAUUUUUCUUUGAAAUGAAGGUGAAAGAUUUGCUUUAUCAAUUAAUUAAUUAAUCAGAAAAGAGUUACCCAUUUAAUUAAUGUAAAAUCAAGUAAGAACCGAUACAAGUCAAUAAUAUAUGGACUAUUCACAAAGCAUGCAACCUUAAAAGCGCACAACCAACCUGACAACCAUACCCAACACGCAACAAUCACCAACCCCUACACUGUUACAUCACAAAGGUCCGGACCCAAUUCCUCCCAUAAAUUAGAGACAAACGUGGGGGGCUUUGCGGGAGACCGGACUAAUCCCACGUCCGCUUUUGAUCGCCCUGGCCAGCAAAAAACCCCUCCCCCUCCCACGCGUUUUCUGUAACACCGCUACAGAGCAUCAACGCACGCAUUCAUGCCCAGCCAGAGCGGACGCGACCGCUCACUGGCGUCGGCAUUGAAGCGACGCGCCUACUGAGAAAGCGCUGCCCGCGUCGCUUCUAGGUGCAAGCGACUGCCAUGCAUUCAAACAACAUGACGACUGCCCGUACAUCCGUUUGUUGCCCACAUUGAUGACCACACGGUUGCCGAGGCGUAUCCUCCGUUGCCACCCUCCCGUCCCUGUGUCGCCCACUAUUGCUAUAAAAACCGGUGCCCUGGCCAUAGCCGCAGUCUUCCACCUCCGAUCCCUCUCUCAUCACCACCACCAUGGAUCCCUUCCCUGCCGAAGCUCUCUGGACGAGUUGACGUCGGACCAGAAGAAGGAGAUGACCGCCACUGCUGCCGGCUGGUUGGCCGGUAGGCAGCUGGAGAACGAUGACAUCCCAAUGGAGGAUGCUACCGAUGACGAACCCGGCGCCAUCCUCCUCAUCCGCGCCACCCUCGCCGGUGCAUUGCACCGUGAUCAUCGGCGAGGUCCGUGCCCAUUACAUGGACAUGGUGCGGGGAGGAGCAGUUCCGGAAGGCGCAGGCCGACGCCCGCCUACCACCUUCUCCCGGAGCAUCUGCAGGCGGAGGAGCAGCUCGUCCCCGGCAGAGCGGUCGCGCUGGUCGUGGACAUGGCAGAGUAGGAGGCGCUGCUUGGGUCCUAUCGCUCCGCCCAUGAGAUCUGCCUCGCUCGCUGGCGGUACCGACAGCAGGUGGCGGAGGUGGCGGUCGUAGAUAAGGAGCGUGACGAUGAGGCGGGUGAGGCGGUGUUCGUCAGACAUCGCCGAGUCCGCGCCCCACCGUGACGACGAUGAAGCCGGCACGUCCGCAAGCGCCAUCGGCAGAGCAGUCACGGUAGGUCGCCGCUGCUCUGGUCCCAGGAAGGCCACCGCUCCUUCCCUCCCGUCGAUGCCAAGCUUGGUGGACUCAACAUCGUCGGCUGAUUAGUCGCUUGGCGGCGAUGUGGAGGUGGACAACUUCUUCCAUGUCCUCCGAAGACGAAGGUUACGGAGGCGGAGCUGGAGAGCGCUGAGGCGGAACUGGAGACUAUGAAGCUUCAAUUCUCGGGGCUCAUGGCCGGACACGAGAACGGACGUCGGCGACCAUUUAGAACUAGCCGGACGAGCUUCACUUAGUUGUGUAAAUGUAAUGAAAUCCAUCAUGUUAAUAUGAAAUCCGGCUGGGUUUAUAUGAAAUUCGGUCGUGUUUGAACGAACUUCGUUCGGUUAAUUUAAACUAUUGUCAGCAUUUAUGCAGCUAACGUUGAAUGUCGUCAUUUCGAAUCCGUGUCGUGCACUCGUCUCUGUUCAUAGACGGAUUUGAAAGAAAAUUUGCAAGCCACAUUUGGACAUGCCCUAAGAAACAUGGAGCUCCUAUACAGCGCUGUAGGCGCCCGUUAACGAUCCGGCGCCUGCAGCGCUGCUAGCAUGGGCCGGCCCACUAGUGUGCUGCCCCAAGUUUAUUUAUUUUUUUACAAAAAUUAAAAUAUGAAAUGAAGAAAGGUUUGCAGAUUUAAAGAAAAAAAGUUCAUCCAUUUGAAAAAUACGUUCAUAUCUUCAAAAAAGGUUCAUAAAUUUUGAAAAAGUUCAUUAAUUUAAACAAAAAGUUCAUUCAAAUUGAAAAAAAGUUCAUCCAACUUAGCAAAAGUUCAUUAAAUUUGAAAAAAGUUCAUAGAAAUUGAAAACAAGUUCAUGUAUUUUUAGAAAAAGUUCAUGGAACUGAAAAAAAGUUCAUAAAUAAAAAAAAUCAUCCAUUUUCAAGACAAAUGUUCAUUAAAUUUCAAAAAAGUUCAUCAAUAUUCAAAAAAGUUCAUCAAUCUCAAAAAAGUUUAUAAAAUUUUCAAAAAAAAAACCAAGAACCGGCGCCUAGAUGGGCCGGCCCAUUUACAGACGCCACAGGCGCCCGUUAACAAAAUGCAUGUUAACUGGCGCCUGUGGUGUCAAAUAGGAUAUGCCUAAGAAACAGCCACGAGCACAUGAGCGAGGACUAGUCAAAGCGAGGCUUGGCCGCUUGGGUUAGUUGGGAUGCUGGUUUUUUCUCUCGAAGAAAACGGUAUAGUGGCAAAGUAUAUAUGGGCUUUCGGCUGCAAAAUUCCAGGGUGGACUUCAUUGUUCUGACCACCCUUUGACCCCUCAUCAAAAGAAAAAGAAAAACCCUGGCCACCCUCUGGUAGUCUGGUCUGGCUACGCCAGUGCUGCCUGCCCUGAUCGUCUACCACCCCGUCCCUGUCCUCAAAACCCUAGCUCGCCCUAAACCGUGGCACCCACCGCCGCCUGCGCCGGCGUUCGUCUUCCGAAGCACAGGAGGGCUCUCGAUCUAGGUCAGACCUCACCGACCGGCACGCUGUGCUCACAACUCGCAUACCCUCCUACUACCAACAUCAGUUGAUUUUCCAUUUCGUUUUCCGGGGGGUCCCAACCUACAUAGCGCACGAUCGAGUAAGAAGGGCAAUCCUUGUGUGUGCUAUGCUACACAAUGACUGCUUGGCUAAUGAGGGCCAUUAGUUGAUCUGAUGAUGGCUACCUGUGGUUUAUUUACUCUGUUUUAUUUGGGAGGGGGACAGGGCUGGGGCCUGAUGGUCACCAUCACAUGGCAACUUUGUCUUGUGGCCGCCCGGGACGGCGUAGAUUAACCCGAUUGAACGGUCGGCCGACACGUGCUGGCGCUCUCCACCGUUCUUUUUGUGAUUUAUUAUAAGGUUUUAUUCAGGCUGUGCAUAGUGAACAUUUUAUAUUUGAAUUGUAAGUAUGGCAUGACUUCACUGUUUGAUUUAAUGCUCUCAAGUGAUGUUUUAUCAUCUUUCGGGUGCUGAUUAGUAUCUUCACGGUGUGAUAAGUGUUUUCCAGGUGUUAUUGAGUCUCUCACACGCUAUCAUUUUUAUUAUUGAGAUGAGAUCCUUUGUGAGCUUUCGUAGAAAAUUUAGUACUACUUUUCUUCCCAAGUGCACGGUACUUUUUUUCUUCAAGAUUUUAAUGCAAUAAAUAAAAAUUGAAUGGUGCAAUCGGACCCUCGCCACACCCUGGGGAUCGAACCUGGUUGCACGACAUAUUCUCUAUUUGCCCACCACCAUGACCACUGCGGGUUACCUUAAUAUAUUGGAAUUUAUAACAAAGACACUAUUCGAGACAUUAUUUCAGUACUUAGGUUGCAAAUAGUACCAUAUUAUAUAGAUGCUCCAUAUGUCCAUAAACCCCUUCCUUUUAAUUUUAACUAACAAGCACACUUUUGUUCCUUGCGCUUUAUUUCUUUAAAAGGAUCUGGUCCUGUUUUCUCUCUUUUUUCCCUUGGGAUAUGUGCUUGUAUAGGUUGAUAUAAACAACAAGAGGGCAUCAGAUUGUACCAGAAAGUGCCAAAUAAGUACAGAUUGCAACACAAGCGAUGGGAUGUAAUAGUCAAAAAAAUAAGGCUGCGCCGGAGCAAGAACCAACUACUUUACCCGAUAAAAAGAAGUGCUUUGCUUGUAAAGAGACAUCACACAAUUUGGAUCAAUGUAGGAUAAAAGACAAAAUGGGUACUGUGGCCCAGCUAUUUGGACGUUCUACAAGCUUUCCAUUCUACAUGAUCCAACCUUCAAAGGAAGUUGUCGAAAAUGAAAAUUCUACCAUCACUGCCUGCUGAUCACAUCUAAUACCUGUAACUUGGACGCGGCACGAGUGAAAACUGAACUAAACAAGUUCUGGAAGCUAACUGAUGACUGGGAUAUAAGGAGAGACAGUAGACAGAAUUUCGUAGCAUCCUUCAACUCAGAGGAUGACCUACUAAGCAGUUUAAAGCCUCCCGAUGUAGAAACAUUUCUGGAUGAAAAGGAGGUGAAUUUCAGUGUAGCAAUGUGGGAUGAAGGUGAUGGGGAAAGCUUGACUUGAUCAAAGAGUGGCUUUUGGUCUAUGGGGUCCCAGGUGCAUAUAGAAACUGGAAGGAGCUAUAUCAAGUGGCAUCUGCAGUUGGAGUUCUGCUUGGGGUGGAUGAGGAAAGUUUGGAAAGUGGAGAUAAGGAGCCUAUUAGGUUGAGGAUAGCGUUAGGAUGUCUUGUUGGUGCUCCUUUCUCUUACCACUUUGUGUUUGGAUGGUCUUCUAGACUAGUCAAGUUCAUGAUUGAAGACAGAGUAGGAAGGAUAGAAGGGCAGUGGAAGGAAGUAGAAGAACGGAAUGUUAGCGUCAUGAAGGAAUAUGCAGAUAUAAGAGAAGAAGGUAUCGAGGUACCACCAGGAACAAUGAAUAAAGGAAUUGAUUUGGAGGGCACUGAAGUAGAUUUCACAGGCAAUUCUUCUUUGGAUUUCAGAAGUUGCUCAAGCAAGGAAUGUAAAGAAGAACUGAAGACCACAGAACAGAAUCGUAGCGUCAUGAAGGAAUAUGCUGAUAUAAGAGAAGAAGGUAUUGAGGUACCUCCAGAAACAGUGAAUAAAGGAAUGGAUUUAUAGGGCACUGGAGUAGAUUUUGCAGGCAAUUGUUCUUUGGAUGUUGGAAGUUUCUCAGGCAAGGAACAUAAAGAAGAGCUGAAGACCACAGAAACAGCUACAUUGUUGGAAGUGGCGAAGUUCAUUGCAGAGUUAAGAGUUCAUGAAGACAUCAAGGGAAACAGCACAAGUGCUAUGGCAGCCACCACAGCAAACUUGAAGAUAGCAGCAACAGGGGGCAAUCCCCAAGUGAAAGCUCAGCAGGAGCUGAUCAUAUGUCGGGUUUGGAAGAUUGUUCAGACAAGGAACAUCAAAAGAAACUGAAGACCUGCGAUAUGGCUACAUUUCUGCAAGUGUCGAAGUUCACUGAAGAGUUAAGAAUUGACGGAGAGAUGAAAGAAAACAAUGCAUGUGCUGUAGUGGGCAUGAGAACAAACUCCGAGAGAGCUACAGAAGACAUUCCAAAAGCUACAGAAGACAUGGCUACAUUGCUGCAAGUGUCAAAGUUCAUUGAAGAGUUAAGAACUGAUGGAGAGAUCGAAGAAAACAAUGCAAGUGCUGUAGUGGGCACAAGAACGAACUCCGAGAGAGCUACAGUAGACAUUCCAAAAGCUAAAGAAGACAUGACUACAUUGCUGCAAGUGUCGAAGUUCAUUGAAGAGUUAAGAACUGAUGGAGUGAUCGAAGAAAACNNNNNNNNNNNNNNNNNNNNNNNNNNNNNNNNNNNNNNNNNNNNNNNNNNNNNNNNNNNNNNNNNNNNNNNNNNNNNNNNNNNNNNNNNNNNNNNNNNNNNNNNNNNNNNNNNNNNNNNNNNNNNNNNNNNNNNNNNNNNNNNNNNNNNNNNNNNNNNNNNNNNNNNNNNNNNNNNNNNNNNNNNNNNNNNNNNNNNNNNNNNNNNNNNNNNNNNNNNNNNNNNNNNNNNNNNNNNNNNNNNNNNNNNNNNNNNNNNNNNNNNNNNNNNNNNNNNNNNNNNNNNNNNNNNNNNNNNNNNNNNNNNNNNNNNNNNNNNNNNNNNNNNNNNNNNNNNNNNNNNNNNNNNNNNNNNNNNNNNNNNNNNNNNNNNNNNNNNNNNNNNNNNNNNNNNNNNNNNNNNNNNNNNNNNNNNNNNNNNNNNNNNNNNNNNNNNNNNNNNNNNNNNNNNNNNNNNNNNNNNNNNNNNNNNNNNNNNNNNNNNNNNNNNNNNNNNNNNNNNNNNNNNNNNNNNNNNNNNNNNNNNNNNNNNNNNNNNNNNNNNNNNNNNNNNNNNNNNNNNNNNNNNNNNNNNNNNNNNNNNNNNNNNNNNNNNNNNNNNNNNNNNNNNNNNNNNNNNNNNNNNNNNNNNNNNNNNNNNNNNNNNNNNNNNNNNNNNNNNNNNNNNNNNNNNNNNNNNNNNNNNNNNNNNNNNNNNNNNNNNNNNNNNNNNNNNNNNNNNNNNNNNNNNNNNNNNNNNNNNNNNNNNNNNNNNNNNNNNNNNNNNNNNNNNNNNNNNNNNNNNNNNNNNNNNNNNNNNNNNNNNNNNNNNNNNNNNNNNNNNNNNNNNNNNNNNNNNNNNNNNNNNNNNNNNNNNNNNNNNNNNNNNNNNNNNNNNNNNNNNNNNNNNNNNNNNNNNNNNNNNNNNNNNNNNNNNNNNNNNNNNNNNNNNNNNNNNNNNNNNNNNNNNNNNNNNNNNNNNNNNNNNNNNNNNNNNNNNNNNNNNNNNNNNNNNNNNNNNNNNNNNNNNNNNNNNNNNNNNNNNNNNNNNNNNNNNNNNNNNNNNNNNNNNNNNNNNNNNNNNNNNNNNNNNNNNNNNNNNNNNNNUGCUGCAGUGGGCACCAGAACGAACUCCGAGAGAGCUACAAAAGAAGACAUUCCAAAAGCUACAGAAGACAUGGCUACAUUGCUGCAACUGUCAAAGUUCAUUGAAGAGUUAAGAACUGAUAGAGAGAUCGAAGAAAACAAUGCAAGCGCUGUAGUAGGCACCAGAAUGAACUCCGAGAGAGCUACAGAAGACAUUCCAAAAGCUACAGAAGACAUGGCUACAUUGCUGCAAGUGUCGAAAUAUAUUGAAGAGUUAAGAACUGACGGAGAGAUCAAAGAAAACAAUGCAAGUGCUAUAGUGGGCACGAGAACAAACUCUGAGAGAGCUACAGAAGACAUUCCAAAAGCUGAAGGUGGGCAAUAAAUAUGCGGAAGUUCAACUUCAACAAGCUUGACUGAAGAGGUCUUUGGAGGUGAGUGAGAACUGCACAUUUGGGAACUUCGUUGUGCUAUGUUUAUCAAAUAUGUUACUCUCCUUUCCAAAUCACAAUAAAUGGAAAAUACUUACAAGAGCAUGGGCUAAAAUUGUUUUCGUAAAUGGAAAUAAACGAAUUCUCAGUCCUUGAAAAAAAUAUAAUUAAAAUAUCAUGUAUGUUGUGAUUUUUCUUGGCACAAUAACAAUUGGUUGACACUUUGUUUGCUGACAUCGUUUUUGAUCUGCCAUGGCGGUCACGCAAAACAUUAUCUUUGUCAACGCACAUCAGAAGGUCAAGUCACUGACCGAAAAGAUCAGAUGCAGGGGGUACACUGUCUCAGCAAUCCAUGGUGGUAUGGACCAGCACGCCAGAGAUGUUGCUGUCCAGGAUCUCCGGUCGGGAACAUCCCUUGUCCUUGUCACCACCGAUCUUGGUGGCGCCGACACAUUGCAGGUCCCUGUUGUCAUCAACUAUGAUCUGCCAACACAACCAGUACAAUACAUUCGUAAUGUUCAACGAAGUGGACAGCCUGUAGGGAAUGGUGUCGCUAUCAGCUUCAUUGCUUGUGCUGAUGAGCGUGUCCUGUCUGACAUCCAAAGGUUCUGCAAUGCUCAGAUGGUGGGGUUACCUUCCAACGUCGCUGACCUCUUGUGAGCAAUUCCAUAUGGUGUGCAGAUGGCUAUGUAUACUUGUUUUUGCUAUCGUUGCCCCGAGAGCUGCGCAACAACUGCAUUUUGUUGAACUGUGGGAGUUGUCUUGUGGUAUUUAUGUCAUGGUGGUUCGAUACUGAACCUAAUGUGGUGCAAAUAGUUGUUUGAAAUGUUUUGUUGGUUCACCUGUUGGUUUACUUUUUUUUUUGAGGGAACCUGUUGGUUUACUAGUAUUGUCUAGCCUAUCCUGGGCCUCGACUUGUGUAGUGAUGAAAGCAGCGACCAACUCGCAGCACCAACGUACACGAAGUCUGUACUUAAUGCAUGGGCUAUUAUUUGACCUGAUUUGCCUGAUGCAUGGGUUCAAUUCUUUCCCUUUAAUUUCAGCCAAUCCAAUUUAAUUUCGCCUCUCUCUUUCUCGUUGCUCCUCGCUAUAUUUCUUCAGGAUACCGAGACCCGCACUUUACCUGUUUCUUGAUUCUCGAGAUGGCUUGCUGAAGGUAACUGACAUACAUAUAUAAGGGAAACGCUUAUACCCGGUGAAGGUAACUCACGUACAUAUAUAAGGGAAACGCUUAUACCUGGUCGACACCAGAUCCCUUCUGCUGCAUCAAUUUGUCUAAAAAAACUGAUUGGCUGCCUGACCAUCUAACAGUUGUCCGUUGACUUUUAAAAAAAGUUCAUAAAAAUUAAUUUUUUUAAAUCUGAACGAAAGAGUAUACAUUUUUAAAAAGUUCAUUGAAUUUGAAAAAAGUUCACGGAAUUUUAAAAACUUCUUUGAUUUUGAAAGAAGUUCAUCUAUUUAGAAGAAAAGUUAAAUCAAUUUUGAAAAUAAAUUCACAAAUUUGAAAAAGUUCAUCGAUUUUGGAAAAAGUUUAUCGAAUUUGAAAAAAGCCAUCAAAUUCAAAAAAACAUUCAUGCAAUUUAAAGAAAGUUCAUGGAUUUUGAUAAAAUGGUUAAUUGAUUUGAAUUUAUUUUCAUCUAGUUUUAGAAAAUUUCAUCGAUUUGAAGAAAACAUUCACGUUUUGCGAACAAUUCAUCGAACAAGGAAGAAGAAAAAACAGAAAACAAAAAAGGAAAAAGAACAAAUAAAAGAGAAGAUAAGUUAAAGGUUAUCAGAGCCACUUUGGUGGCGUGGUGGUUACACCCUCAUCCCUCAAUUAAGAAGAUUGCUGGCGCUUUUUUGCGAACUAAGAUACAAAAAGAAAAUGUUAGAUGGGCCGGCUCAGCGUUGGGGCGCUUCAGGAUCCGCCAGCUAGCAUAAUUGGUCAUCAAGUUCAAUAUGAAAUAUUGUUUAUGGUCUUUGAUUCCCGGGGACGCAAUUUUUUGUUGUUUAUUAUGAACCUUUUUUCUAUACUCCUAUAUAGUAUACCAAUAGCAAUUUAUAUGGACCGUUAGAUCUUUCUAAUCGGACGGCUCAAAUUUAAUGGCUUGUGUGACAGGCCUACGUGGCUGUAUAUGGACCGUUGGAUAUGUUAAUCUGACGGCCUGCAUUGCAGGGAUUCGCUGCCCCCUCCCCUGUAUAUCUGACCGUUGGAUAUAUCAGUUGUAGUAGUAGUUUCUAGAAUGUGCACGUGAUUCUCCCUCCUUUCUUUGUAGCAUGCCACUGUUCAGAAAUUUCCAGCACUCCCGUGAUACAUGCUGCAGUAGAGUAUAGUAGGACUAGGAGUACUAGCAACUAGCAAGCACGCAUCAUGACAAGAGAGAGAGAAAGCAUGUGAUGGUGCAGCCUGGGUAUAGGCGCACAAGCCAAAACCAAAUGUUUUAUAAGUCUGGGUAUAAAUGCAAACAAAGUAAAAAUGUAAUAUAUGUUACAACUAAAUAGCUUUUAUUUUCUUUUAUAAAUCUGUUUUACAAAUAUUAUUACCAUUGUUUUUCUUACCAAUAAAUUAUGUGAAAAAUUCAUAUCAACAAAACAGACAUAAUUAAUGUUUAUAUUAUUAUUUUAUUUCUAACGAUAAAUAACUUGGAAAUAUCACUCUUUCCAUUGCUCAAUCUAAUACAUAUUAAAAUUUAUUAGGACAAAUGUUUAAGGAUGACGUGGGUAUGCUUUUUCUCAUGGUAUUCUAAAUUGUGUAAAUUUAGUAUUACACAGAAACAUGAUUAAUUUUUUUAUAAUUUAAUAAUUAAUGAUUAAUUAGCUGAUGAGUUGAGUGUCUCCACCUAUGGUAGUUCAAACUAUGACAGUACUAUUCAAAAUUACCCAUAUUUUUUCGCAUGUAUCUGUGUUAAUAUAUAACUAUCUCUACAUGUUCCCUCAAAAAAACAUUAUCUCUACACGUGCAUGGCACGUGCCAUUUACUAGUUACAUAUUGUGAGCGAGAAACGUGCACCUGCCCAUGGGCUGAGGCCCAUUGUUGCGCUGGUGCGAACCUUUUUUUUUAACUUAUUUCGAGAAAAUAGUACCAACUCAGAAUGAAUAAAUCUUAAAAAAUAAAAAAUAAUUAUGGAUGAAUGGAUGAUUUUUUUUCCAGAGAAACACCUUUUACUUUAUUAGUAAAAUAAGGUAUAGAAGUUUAGCAUUUCAGACAUUACAUGGCUGAUGCUCCAAGGUAUGUCUCGUUGUUGUCAGAGACGGGAAGUGAGAAUAUUUCAGUGAUGCGGCGAAAUGUGGUCGUGAGGCAUUAGAUUAGUGAUUAUAUAUAUUUUUUUCUUUCGAUACAACGUGCGGGCAUGUUUGAUAGUGUAUUCUAGUUUAUAGUUCAGUAGAGUAGAUCCGCAAAAGAAUAGUAAAGUAUUACUAUAGACAAAAAAACCCUUCUCCAUUUCAUAACGUAAGAUGUUUUUUGACUUAGUGUCGAAAAACACGGAGGGAGUACCACUGUAGGUCCGAGCUAAUACAAAACUCGUCGAUGCGGACGGUCGCGGACGGAUGCCUACGGCUGCACAUCGACCUCUAUGGUUGGUGUGACGGGGCGUGCUAGCAGCCAAACAAGUAGCUUCUUUUGGAUUGGAUUCGCAAUCCUGUAUACACUUUCUGGCACGACCUCUCCCUUCCGCGUCGCUCCCGCCUCAUUCAUGGCAAGUGGCCACAUCGCCCAAUGCCUCGGUGGCAUCCUCGCCAGGCGGGCCGGCGCUACUGUGGCCGUCUCCGGCGACCUCUGUCUGAACGGUGCUCAGCUCGUGGAUGGCGUGCGCAGUCUGGCAGCCGGCCUCUUGGAGCGCGGCGUCCGUCCCGGUGAUGUCGUCGCCGUCGUCGGCUUCAACAGGUACGCACAAGGCUACUGCAGCUCACAUCGCCUGCCUCUCUUCCUCCAUUUCACAAUUGCUAGUCAACCAUCUGUUCUUGGCCCUCCGCAAGUCAACCCUCGGGCUUGGCACACACAGAGAACAAUAUCCAAGACACUUGAAACGAAUCUGAGCAUCAGUGAAAAUUGUAUAUCAGUAUCAUCAACUUUUCAUGUGAUCGCCUGUAGCAUUGAGUACAUGGAGCUGUUGCUGGCCAUCCCUUACAUCGGAGCAAUCGUUGCCCCUCUCAACUACCGCUGGGUAAGAGCAUUCUUCUUCCUCUAACUAGAUGAACAAAUCAACAUCUCCGCACUACAUCAUACAGUAUGACCUGAAAUCUUCCAAAUGCAAUUAAACUCCAACUCGUAUUGCUGCAUGAGUAUUUGAAGCUGGCCAUUUGCCUGAAUGUGUCAUUCUGAAGAAUGCAAAAAAUAAAGAAUGACGUCGUAUUUCUUCUCGUCUAGAGUUUCGAGGAGGCGGUGCAGGCGCUGGAGCUUGUGCGGCCGUCGGCAUUCAUCUUUGAUGGUGCUUACAGCUCAUGGGCGCUCCGGUUGAUGGAGAGCCAGAGCUUCUCAUCCAUCUGCCUUUACGUCACCAUCGGGGAUCCUGUCAACAUCGGCCAAGGUGCAAACUGUAAGUAUGCAGAAGAUGGAGAGAUGCCUCUUUCUCUUUUCCUUUUUUGGAUUGACCACAAAAUAGAUCGUUACAGGAUCUAAGACCGGCGUUUGUAAAUGUUCUGCAUUCAACAUGUUAUUUUCAGUUGUGUCAGUUGAUCAUGUCAAGAGGAGUUGCAGAGGAACCACGGAAAUGGAGCCCGUGUCGGCUCCGAGGGAUGUCGGUUUAAUAUGCUUCACAUCUGGUAAAAGCUCCGGGCUGGUUCUUGGCUUUGAUUUGUAUUAAGCCUUUUACCGGCAGUGCUAGAGGCUUUUCAGCCCUGCAUUUUGACAACACAUAGGUUGAAUUCAUGUUUGGUCCUGAUUCAGGAACCACUGGACAGCCAAAGGGCGUAGCAAUAAGCCAUACAUCUUUGAUCAUUCAAUCUCUAGCAAAAAUCGCCGUUGUCGGCUACGGUGAGGAUGAUGUAUGCUUUCAGGAUCCAUGUACCACUGUAGUUAUUGAAAAUUGCAUUAGCUUAUCCAACUUCAUGCACUGCUCGCUAGGGCGUCAAAUGAUGUUAUUAAGUUUCAUGCUAUUUGAGUGUAACUGACUUUUUAUUUCAGAAAAUAACAAUAGUUGUUAUAAUUAUUGUAUGGUUACAGGUCUACCUACAUACAGCCCCUCUAUGCCAUAUCGGAGGGAUCUCUUCAUGCUUGGCCAUCCUGAUGGCUGGAGGCUGCCAUGUCCUGAUACCUAAAUUCGACGCAAAAUCAGCUAUCAAAGCAAUCCAAGAACACAAAGUGACUUGUUUCAUCACCGUUCCCACAAUCAUGGCUGACCUCCUGUCCUAUUCUCGGUAACCGAUAGUGCUAAAAUACAAUCUAAAAGCCUAACAAUGCCCAGUUUGUUGUUGACUUUCGGUACUUGAUCAGGAAAGACAAGAUAUCAGGAUGCGGGUCGGUGGCUAAGAUCCUCAAUGGUGGCGGCAGGUUGUCGGAUGAGUUGAUAAAUGGAGCUUCUCAUUUAUUUUUUAACGCUGCUAUCUUUUCAGCUUAUGGUAUAUGUUCUUACGACCAAAUGCCACUUCACUUUAUCUGCAGUUUCUUUAGAAAUUAAAAUUAUGUAAUCAUUUUUAUGCUUACUAACAGUAACAUCUCUUAUCUGAGUACUGAACUUGUUUUUAUCAGGGAUGACAGAGGCAUGCUCAUCGCUGACAUUCAUGCGUAUGAACAACCCAGAAGUUGAAGAAACCAAGAACCAGUUAACCAAGCAAUCUGAGGGUGUUUGUGUUGGAAAGCCAUCACCUCAUGUCGAGAUACGAAUCGGUAGAGAUGAAAGUAACAGUACCUCUUCACAAAUGGGGAAAAUCUUGACAAGAGGCUUGCACACAAUGGUUGGAUACUGGGGGAACAGUACGGCUGAUACACCAGAAUCUGUUAGGAAUGGAUGGCUUGACACCGGGGACACUGGAUGGAUAGAUAGGACCGGUAAACUAUGGCUCAUGGGGCGGCAAAAAGGCCGCAUAAAAAGCGGAGGGGAAAAUGUUUACCCGGAAGAGGUGCUUCUUAUUUUACUGGUGCAUGUGAUGUCCUCUUCAAUCUUCUCAAGCUGAUAUAUUAGGUGUUAGUUUCUUCAUCUUUAAAAACAAUCAUGGCUAAUGAUCAACAUCUCAAAUAUUUGCAGGUGGAAUUAGUGCUGUCACAACACCCAGGGGUAGCUAAAGCUGUGGUUUUCGGUGUACCGGAUAGUUGCCUUGGGGAGAAAAUUGUCGCUUGUGUUAGCAUCAGGGAUGACUGGAGAUGGGUUGAUGCAACAGCUGAGCACCAAGGAGAAGGCAAGGAAGUGUCUGCUCAUAUUCUUCAAGAAUAUUGCAGGAUAAAAAAUCUGAGCAGGUUAGCAAUCCCUCCCCUCUUAAUUACCACAUUUUGGAGUAGCAUGCCCUACUACUUGAAUUCAAUAAAUAGAUUAGGUCUUAAACAGUGCAGACAAAUGAUAUAUUAGUACGGAGGAUCUACAUCUAAUCCUACAUUUAUUCUCUGCAGAUAAUAGUAGUCACUAGGUUAUUUCAGGCAUGCACAUAUUUAUUUGAUAUUCUUGAAGCUUUUUCUUAAAGGAUUACGUAUAUUACUGCGCGUACACUCUUUUCUCCAGUAACUUGUAGUGAUCCUCUUUGGAACAGAUUCAAGGUGCCAAGAUUAUAUUAUCACUGGAGUAGGCCGUUCCCAGUGACCACCACAGGCAAAAUUAAAAGAGAGGAGCUGAAGGCCAAGGUCUUGGCUUGCAUGCAACCGCGUAGUAGUUUGUAGCUUCAGGCCGUGGACUAACAAUCACGUGGGAUUCUUCUCUCCACCGACCAUUUCCAAUGGAGUUUCAGUUUUGUACGAGUUUACAUGUACGGACAUGCAUGGCCUAGUUUUGGAUAUUCGGUUGUAGUGGUCAUCAGUGAAGAAAUAGUCUGUGAGAAAAAUAUAGAACCCUAAAAUUGUGUGUUGUAUUGACGUANNNNNNNNNNNNNNNNNNNNNNNNNNNNNNNNNNNNNNNNNNNNNNNNNNNNNNNNNNNNNNNNNNNNNNNNNNNNNNNNNNNNNNNNNNNNNNNNNNNNNNNNNNNNNNNNNNNNNNNNNNNNNNNNNNNNNNNNNNNNNNNNNNNNNNNNNNNNNNNNNNNNNNNNNNNNNNNNNNNNNNNNNNNNNNNNNNNNNNNNNNNNNNNNNNNNNNNNNNNNNNNNNNNNNNNNNNNNNNNNNNNNNNNNNNNNNNNNNAGAUUUUUCUUUUAGCAUUUGGCCCUGCUCACUCACGAGGAUCACAUGUGUCACUGCACGUACAUUGGCUUCUUUUCUCCAGUAACUUGUCACGAUCUUUUUGAAACAGAUUCAAGAUGCCAAGAUUAUAUCACCACUGGAAUAGGCCGUUCAGUGCCACCACGGGUAAAAUUAAAAGAGAGAAGCUAAAGGCCGAGAUCUUGACAUGCAUGCAACCAUGUACUCCCUCCGUUCCUAAAUAUAAGUCUUUGUAGAGAUUUCACUAUGGACUACAUACAGAGCAAAAUAGGUGAACUACAUUCUAAAAUGCAUCUAUAUACAUCCGUAUGUGGUCCAUAAUGAAAUAUCUACAAAGACUUAUAUUUAGGAACGGAGGGAGUAGCAGUUUUGUAGCUUCAGGCCAUGGGCCAACAAUAGCAACAACCAUGGUAUGUUAAUGAUACAAGAUUAGAAGUGUGAAAAUAACACAGACCAUAGACAUAUUUAGUAUGUCUCAGUAAAAAUAGCACCAUCUAAGCUAGAAACCUUAAGGUUCGUGUAUUCAGUGCGUCUCCGUGUAAAUAGAAAAGUGGCGCCGCGACCAACUAAGGGCGGUGGCCUUCCCAAAAUAGGAAUUUACUUCAUGGGUGAGAAUGCCUGCCGCGAGGCGGUGUCUAUUUGAGCCAAAUUUGAAUGUGAUCAGGCACUGCACCUUCAACAUCCCUAGUCCCAACCUUCAUUUGUCGNNNNNNNNNNNNNNNNNNNNNNNNNNNNNNNNNNNNNNNNNNNNNNNNNNNNNNNNNNNNNNNNNNNNNNNNNNNNNNNNNNNNNNNNNNNNNNNNNNNNNNNNNNNNNNNNNNNNNNNNNNNNNNNNNNNNNNNNNNNNNNNNNNNNNNNNNNNNNNNNNNNNNNNNNNNNNNNNNNNNNNNNNNNNNNNNNNNNNNNNUGUGAAGGAAUUUUUUUGAGAAGGGCUUAUGUUAGGUUUUUCUUUUAGAGGAUCAGUUGCGUCACUGCACCCAGUAAUUUGUCAUGAUCUUUUAUGAAACAGAUUCAAGAUGCCAAGAUUAUAUCACCACUAAAGUAGGUCGUUCCCAGUGACCAUGAUAGGCAAAAUUAAAAGAGAGGAGCUGAAGGCCGAGGUCUUGACAUGCAUGCAACCGCCUAGUAGUUUCUAGCUUCAAGCCGUGGACCAACAAUGGCAGCAACCAUGAUAUGUUUUUUUUAAACGGAGGCAAAAUAUUUGCCUCAUCUCAUUAAUUAAGCAGAGAAGAGUACGGAUUGUCAGUUACAUAGGCACAAAGGCUAGAUAUAACGCACAGAGGGAUUACUCUCCCGGAAUAAGGUUCCCUAGAUACGUAGCCCCUGCUCUCACCCAUAGCUGCGCCUCCGCCUUGAUGGAUGAAAAUACGUGAGUGGGUAAGGAGGCCUUGUUUUGAAAGAUCAUUGCAUUCCUUUCGUUCCAAAUUGCCCUACAAAUUAGCAUCUUCAGAGAGUUGAGAGCCUUCCUACUGCGCCGUUGAGAAGUCUGUUAGCAUCCCACCACCUUUAAAUGGAUGGAAGAUCGGCCCAAGCAGGCGCCUGCGAUUGUAUCCCCAGCCAAUCAUGGAUCAAAUUCCAAAUCUUGAUCAAGUAGUGGCAUUUGAACAUGAGGUGCGCGGCAGAUUACGGUUCCCUUUUACAAAGCUGACAAAGACCGUAGUUGGGCCAGCCCCUACGGGCAAGUCUAUCUGCCGUCCAAACUCUGUCGUGGAGAAUGAGCCAUGAGAAGAAUUUGGUUUUAGGCGGCGCCCAAACCUUCCAAACCAUCCUAGGCAUGUCUAACUUUAUUAGUCAAGCCAAUUGCAUUCUGUACGCCGUGGCAACAGAGUAGCAUCCAUCCGUCGUAAAUUUCCAUUGAAUGACAUCCUCUGUGCCCGCCGUGAGUUGUACCUCCUGGACCUUGCUCCAAAGAUUAACAAAUUGUUGUAUGUGGCCGACAGAGAGGCCUCCCUGCAUGUUGAUACGGCGAAUCCAGUCACUGUUUGUCAAAGCCUUUGCCACACAGGCAUUCUUGCGCUUUGAAAGGGCGAAGAUACCCGGAGCCAUGUCCUUUGGCUUUUGCCCCUGUAGCCAGGGAGCGAACCAGAAACUCGCCUUCGUGCCAUCACCCAUGGUAAGAGUCGUCACAGAGUAGAAAAGAUCUAGGUCAUCGUCAUCACAAGGGAUGUCAAAACCAACCCAAGCUCUCUGGGGUCCACCCAUUGAAACCAUAGCCACCAAAGCCUGAGUGCUCUAGAGAACUUAGCGAGGUCGAGGAUUCCUAAUCCACCUAGGUUUAGGGGUCUGCAAACCAGCUUCCAGUUAACCAUGCAAUGACCUCCUGACAACUUAUUUGUGCCAGUCCAUAAGAAGACCUUUGAAUCUUAGCUAUAUCAUCUGUGGUCCCAACUGGAAUAUCGAGUGCGGUGAGGUAGUAGAUGAUCUGGGAGGAUAACACAUACUUCACAAGAGUGGAUCUACCAGCAAUAUUGAUGUUUCUGCCUUGCCAAGGAGGAAGUUUCUGGGCGACCUUGUCCACCAAGAAAUGACAGUCAGAUUUUGUGAGGAUAUGUGUGGAAAGAGGAAGGCCCAGGUUACACAGCGGGAAUCUAGUUCGGAUGGCAGGGAAGCUUUGGAGGAUAUCAUCCAGAUCGAUAUUUGCACAACGGAUGGGCGCCACAAUACUCUUAAGGGGGUUUGCCAUAAGCCCUGUAACUUCCCCAAAGCUGGUCAAAAUGGUCGCAAGGUUUUGUAUAUCCUCUUUAAUAGGGGCAACGAAGAUAGCUGCGUCAUCAGCAUAGAGAGAGGUACGAACCGCGGUUGCCCGACCACGAAGCCGAUGGAUGAUACGUCUUCAACGCAUCUAUAAUUUUUUAUUGUUCCAUGCUAUUAUAUUAUCAAUCUUGGAUGUUUUAUAUACACUUUCAAGCAAUUAUAUAUCAUUUUUUGGGACUAACCUAUUAACUUAGUGCCUAGUGUCAGUUGCUAUUUUUUGCUUGUUUUUGGUUUCGCAGAAUAUCAGUAUCAAACGAAGUCCAAAUGCCACGAAACUUUUUAGAGAUUUUUUGGGACAAAAGACACACUAGAAGCUUCGGGAGAAGACCAGAUGAUGUACCGUGGGCCCACAAGGCACCAGAUCGCGCCUGGUGUGUGGUGGGGCCCACGUGGCUCUGUUUGACCUAACUCCGCCUCUAUAAAUUCUCUAAAAUCGUGAAACCCACAGAGGAGUCCAUGAAAUACUUUUUCCGCCGCCGCAAGUUUCAGAACCACGAGAUCCCAUCUAGAUGCCUUUUUCGGCACUUUGCCGGAGGGGGAUUCGAUCACGGAGGGGGCUCUGCAUCAUCCUUGCUGCCCUCCGAUGAGGCAUGACUAGUUUACCACGGACCUAUAGGUCCAUAGUUAGUAGCUAGAUGGAUUCUUCUCUCUAUUUGAUCUUCAGUACAAUGUUCUCCUCAGUGUUCUUGGGGAUCUAUUUGAUGUAAUGACUUUUUGCGGUGUGUUUGUUGGGAUCCAAUGAAUUGUGAGUUUAUGAUCAGAUCUAUCCAUUAAUAUUAUUUGAGUUUUUUCUAAACUCUUUUAUGCAUGAUUGUUAUAGCCUCGUAUUUCUUUUCCGAUUUAAUGGUAUGGUUUGGCCAAUUAGGUUCAUUAUCUUGCCAUGGGAAGAGAUGCUUUGUAAUGGGUUCGAUCUUGCGGUGCUCAAUCCCAGUGACAGAAAGGGACAUGACACACAUAUCAUUGCUAUUAAGGGUAAAAAGAUGGGGUUUAUUCAUACGUGAGUUUAUCUUGUCUACAUCAUGUUAUCUUUCUUAAGGCGUUACUCUAUAUUUCCAUGAACUUAAUACACUAGAUGCAUGCUAGAUAGCGGUCGAUGUGUGGAGUAAUAGUAGUAGAUGCAGAAUUGUUUCGGUCUACUUGUCUCGGACGUGAUGCCUAUAUACAUGAUCAUUGCCUUGGAUAUCGUCAUAAUUAUUAUUUUUCUAUUAAUUGCCCAAUAGUAAUUUGUUUACCUACCGUAUGCUGUUUUCAAGAGAGAAGCCUCUAGUGAAAACUAUGGUCUCCAGGUCUAUCUUUUAUCAUAUAUUAAAACAAAGAUGCCUUGCUGUAAUUUUCUCUUAUUUAUUUUAUUUUAUAUUUUUGUUCGAGCUAUCUAUCGAAAACUAUAGAUUUUAAUCUUGCUCGUAACCGUCAAGGGACUGACAACUUGUUCAUGUUGGGUCGCAAGUAUUUGUUGUUUGUGUGCAAGUGCUGUUCAUGAGUCGUUUCUUGGUUCUCCUACUGAAUUGAUAACAUUGGUUUCACAAAUGAGGAAAAUAUUUAUCUCUACUAUACUGCAUUAUCCUCUCCUUUUCGGGGAAAUCGCAACGCAACUCACAAGUAGCAGGAAGAAUUUCUGGCGCCGUUGCCGGGCAGACAUCAUAAACAACUAUCAAGUACCUUCGCAUAAACUUUCAUCUCCUUGCAUUACAUUAUUUGCAAUUUGCCUCUCGUUUUCAUUUCCCCCGCUUCUAAAUAUUUUUUACAAAAUAUUUUCCGUUUGCCUUUUUGCUUGAUUGAUUUAUCUUGUCAUCAUGACUAGCAUAACUAUCCCUCCUUUGUCACCUGAUUUUGAAGUUCUUUACUUAAAACAGACACAAGGAGAAAAUCCUAAGGAUGCUUGCUAUAGGUUAAUGGAAUCUUACCAUGUUUGCUCUGUAAAAGGAGAUCUAAAUUUUUUACUUCGCAAUUUCUAUAUAGACCAUAGACAACUUUUGGAUUUUGCUGCAAAAGGGAAUUUUAUUGAGAGUGAUGCCAAUACUGCCUAUGAAAUAAUAGAGGGAAUAUUGGGGGUUCCACCAUCACAAAAGGAAUUUUCUUUUACUCAAGAGGGAAUUCAAAUACAAGACAAAUUAGGUGAUAUGUAGAAAAAUUUGGCUGAGUUGCAAAAGUCUAAUAAACCUCUAAAAAAUAUUAGUGGAAACCUCAAUCGCAUGAAUACUUUGAUCACUUUAUGUAAUAAACGGUUGGAUAUUCUAGAUCUUAAGAUGGCAUCUUUCCCUGAGAAUAAUGGGAAGCGUAAAGAACCUCAUGGCGAGGGAGUCUUGGACUAAGGGGUCCUCGGGCGUCCGGUCUAUCUAAUAUGGGCCAGACUAAUGGGCCGUCAAGAUACAGGAAGAAGACCACCUGUUGUGUACGGUGGGGACUCCCGUAUACGUGGAUGGCAAGUUUAGGUGUCCGGAUAUGCUAUUCCCUUUCUGUUAAACCGACCUUGUACAACCCUAAGCCCCUCCGGUAUCUAUAUAAACCGGAGGGUUAGAUCGAAGGCAGGAUCACAACAUUGAUAGGCUAGCCAAGCUAGGGUUUAGCCAUUACGAUCUCGAGGUAGAUCAACUCUUGUAACCCCUAUACUCAUCGAAUAUAAUCAAGCAGGAGUAGGGUUUUACCUCCAUUAAGAGGGCCCGAACCUGGGUAAACACUGCGUCCUUUUGAUCAUUAUUACCAUCGAUCCUCAGACAUACAGCUUGGGCCUCCCUACCCAAGAUCUGCCGGUUUUGACACCAACAUUGGUGCUUUCAUUGAGAGCUCCGUUGUAUUGUCAACUGAAGGAUUGAUGGCGCGCCUGCUCAUUAACGAUGAUGCUGCGUCUAGGGAAACCUUUCUUCCCGGACAGGUAUUUGUGUUCAGCGACUCCGUGCUUCGUGCCAACUCGACCGGGCGCCUCGAGCAGGUCGACAGUUACGCCCCCGGCCACCAGAUUAGGUUUGGAAACCUGAAUUACAUCACCGAUAUCUGAGGAGAUCUGGUCUUCGAGGGGUUUGCGGCCCCGGUGGCCGCUCCUUGCCCCCAUGAAGGAAGCUCUUUGGAUCCGCUCUUAGAUCCCAUCCAGGUGUCGACACUCACACCCACCUCGGCCAUAGUUCCGGCGCAGGUAGUAUCAUCCGAAGACGGGAGGAUUAGCCCCGCUGGACUCUUUUCUAUCAUGGAACUCCUGACCGGAGACCCAGACGCGAUUUUGGACUCGCCUCUGGACGACAACUUCGAACCAUCAAAGUCUGCGUCGAUCGGGACCGAUCAGGUGUCUGUUGCCGAACUUAGCCCUACGGAUCCGCGGACUGUCACCCAGCUUUCGCCCUUAGACGAAGCACUGGGUUUGAUGUGAUCUCUUGCCAUUACGGAAGCUCUGCCUCCGAACUGCACCCAGCAUGGGCUAGGGGCUGGGAGCGAGGAAUUUUAUGACCCGCCCACCACUCACUUAAUAGCCACUGUCGAGGAUUUAACCGACAGGCUGGACUACGCGUCCAAAAACAUCGACGGUAUGGACGAUGAUGCCGAAGCCGAAUCGGGCCAAGUCCCACCCAUCACAGGGUGUUGGACGGCCACUUCAACCUAUGACGUAUACACGAUGGACACUCCUGACAAAAAGGAUGACGAGGAAAAUCAGAAUCCUGAUGAGGACAAACCCAUCGAUGAACCACCAAAGCGCCAACGUCAGCGGCGCCGCUCACGUUCGCGUCGGGCAAAGGAUAGUAACACCAGCACCAGAGAUAAUGAGACUCCGGAUAAUGCCAAAGAGCCUGAACACCCCGUUGAGCCCACAUCCGAUCAUGAUGAGAGGGAAGAGGGUCAGUAUAGCCCCAAACAUGCUGAUCAUGAAGAUUCAGAAGACAACAACUAUAUGCCAGUCUCUGAAGAGGAUAUUAGCCUCGGUGACGAAGACUUUAUCGUCCCAGAGGAACCCCUCGAGCAAGAACGCUUCAAGCGACAGCUCAUCGCCACAAUGCGGAGCCUAAAAAAGAAACAACAACAGCUCAAAGCUGAACAUAAUACACUCAAUGAAAGGUGGACCAAGGUCUUGGCCGCCAAGGAGUACGGCCACGAGCGACCUACCAAAAGUUACCCCAAGCGCAAGCUGCUGCCACAAUUCGACGACGAAGCCCUUGAGCUAAUACCGUCGAAUUACAAUCAGGCAGACCAACCAGACAUACCACCACGUGGAUGGGAUAAAGCGGCAUAUCAAGCUGAACACCAGCCCGCACCCCCUCGCCAAAGAGGCAAGGAGACAACAGAUACGAGCUACACAUAUGACUUGCAACGGGACCUGGCCAAUAAAGCCAGUCAGACCAGAUCAAUCUAUGGAUCAAGAGGCCAUGCCCCGGCACGAGAUAACGGCUAUGAAGUCCGGCGUGAUGAACAUUACAAUAUUCGGGAUUAGAACCGAACUCAGAUGUCAUCCGAUCUCCACCGUGAUGUCGCACGAUACAGGGGUGCCGCACACCCCAUGUGCUUUACCGAUGAGGUAAUGCAACACCAGUUUCCGGAAGGGUUUAAACCCGUGAACAUCGAGCAGUAUGAUGGAACGACGGAUCAAGCCAUUUGGAUUAAAGAUUUUCUUCUCCACAUUCAUAUGGCUCGUGGAGAUGACCUCCAUUCCAUUAAAUAUCUUCCUCUAAAGCUGAAAGCACUAGCAUGACACUGGCUGAAUAGCCUCCCAGAGAACUCAAUUGGAACCUGGGAAGAUUUGGAAGAUGCUUUUCGGGCCAACUUUCAGGGCACUUAUGUCCGACCACCGGAUGUGGAUGACUUGAGUCACAUAAUCCAGCAACCAGGCGAAUCGGUUCGUAAGCUUUGGAAUUGGCUCCUAAUUAAAAAGAACCAAAUCAUGGACUGUCCGGAUGCUGAAGCCUUAGCAGCCUUCAAAUACAGUGUCCGGGACGAAUGGCUCGCCCGACACCUCGGGCAGGAGAAGCCGAAGACCAUGGCAGCCUUAACUGCACUCAUGACCCGUUUCUAUGCAGGUGAAGGUAGCUGGUUGGCUCGUAGAAGCAAUAGCUCGGGUGACCCCGACACUUCUGAGGCCAGGGACGGCAAUGGUAAACCACGCCGCAAUAAAAACAAACGUCAGAGCAACAAUGACGACGCAGAUGAUACAACAGUCAAUGCAGGAUUUAGUGGUUCUAAAUCCAGUCAGCGGAAGAAACCUUUCAAAGGCAACAAGGACGGUCCUUCCAUCUUGGAUAAAAUCCUUGAGAGGCCCUGUCAGAUUCAUGGCACACCCAAUAAGCCUGCUAACCACACCAACAGGAACUGUUGGGUUUUCAAACAUGCCGGUAAGAUAAAUACCGAACACAAGGGAAAAGGACCUCCAAGUGAGGAAGAUGACGAGCCUCGUCAGCCGAACACCGGGGGCCAAAAGCAGUUUCCCCCGAGGUGAAAACAGUGAAUAUGAUCUAUGUCACUCACAUUCCCAAAAGGGAGCACAAGUGCACACUAAGGGACGUCUACGCCGUAGAGCCUGUCGCCCCAAAGUUCAACCCAUGGUCAGCCUGUCCGAUCACUUUUGAUUGCAGGGAUCACCCAACCAGUAUCCCUCACGGGGGUUCGGCCGCCCUGGUACUCGACCCAAUUAUCGAUGGAUACCAUCUAACUAGAGUCCUUAUGGACGGGGGCAGUAGUCUCAACUUGAUUUAUAAAGACACCGUUCGCAAGAUGGGCAUUGACCCAUCAAGAAUCAAGCAUAGUAACACUACCUUUAAAGGUGUGAUACCUGGUGUGGAUGCCCGUUGCACGGGCUAACUGACACUGGAGGUAGUAUUCGGCUCCCCAGGCAACUUCCACAGUGAAGAAUUAAUCUUCGAUAUCGUCCCUUUCUGUAGUGGUUAUCACGCACUGCUCGGACGAAUUGCCUUCACUCACUUUAAUGCAGUCCCGCACUAUGCUUAUUUGAAGCUUAAGAUGUCUGGACCUCGCAACAUUAUUACAGUCAAUGGAAAUAUGGAGCGCUCCCUCCGUACUGAAGAACACACUGCGGCCCUUGCAGCCGAGGUGUAUGGCGGCCUUAUCAAAUCGAACAAUUCGUCGGACAUUAAAGCCAACAACAUUUCUAAACGAGUCCGGUCCACACAUCACUGUGAUAACUCAAUGAAUCCGGACCUCAAUUAGCAGUUCGGCCUCCGCCGACUGCCCCAUAAGGUUGCGGCUUACAUACCGCGUGCACAUAACUACGCACUCAAAAUACCUUGGGCAACAACGGAGGCACACUGCAGAAAAAGUCCAUAGUACGGCUUGACCCUAUUAGGACUGCAUACAUCUUCUUUCACUACAAGUUCAUUAAGAGCCCUAUUUUGUUGUAUGGUUGCAUCAGGGAUCCUUUCAAGGCUAGCGUCUCCCAUCUUUUUGGCCAACCAUCAAAUACUCCUAUCAAAGGACUUAUUAAUAAGGAGAAAUGGUACAGACGUGCAGCAGGGCAUCACUGGAGUCUUUGAACUAUUACCUUUAGGCCCGGUGUUAGACUUUCCCUUAUGUAAAUUUUUUUUAGGCAUGUAACAUGACCUUAAUAUUAAUGGCAUUGUCUGUCGAAACACGCCUCGACGUAUUGAUGAGGAUAUAAAGGAAAUAGACGAUCACCACCUUUAUGUUGGGUUCUUAUAUUAUCUUGCCGUCUGUAUUCCCUCCUUGCUUUCGAUUGACAUACGCGCUUCAGCACGACCUUCAUACCAGGGGCUGUAUUCGGCCCCGCAAAUUCUUAAAAGUCCGAACACCUAUAGGGAACUCUUGGGCGUCCCGGAUAUUGCACUAUAUGCAUCGGCUCCGAAUCAUGUCUUUGGUCUAUAGUUGGGUUGCCCGGCUCCUGUGCUUGCCACCUUACGUUCUGCAAGUUCGGCUAAGGUAGCAAAGGGAGAACUACUGCGAUUGUAUUUCUGGUUUGUCCGGUUACGUACCUCAGUAGAGCAAGCCGAAAACUGACUGUCAUGAUAUGCGAGAGCGGGUCAACAAUCCGGUGACUUAGUGUUAUACUACAAAUCAUUCGCGAUUUAUGCCGUGUUAUACGAGGGGCCGGGCUUUGACCAGCCGUGUUGCAAAGGCACCGUAAUUCGGAUUUCCGUUCAUGCAACAGGGGUUAGUACUUAGCACCACCAAUGGACUCUUAUGGCUAAGUGAAAGUGAUAAAGCCGCAUAGUCUGAUUGCCUUGUUCAUCUCGCAAGAUGCAUCCUACAUAGGACCAAGACGUUGGAUAAAGUGCGGACAUGCGUUCCCUAACACCCAUGUAAUAUUUACAUGGGGGCAGAAGCCGACGACUGGUAAACUUUCAGACUUAUAAAAUAAACGGCCAAACAGGAGGAUAAACAAACAAAAUCAUAAAGCGCAAGCAUAAAUAUUUCACAUUAUGAGUUCAUUACAUGGUUCUUACAAACUGGACUCCACUACUCAAAUAUGAUAUCCUUUGAGCACUGGCCCUCUACAACGCGGGAUCCCUCGAGGACCUCGCUGAAGUACUUCUCCGGCCGCCGGAGAUCCUUGCCUGCAUGUGGCCCUGCGGUGGCAAUUUUGGUGGCCUUCAUCUUCGCCCAUUGCACCUUGACUCGGGCGAAGGCCAUCCGGGCACCUUCUAUGUAGGCCGACAGCUUGAUGGUGUCGAUCUGAGGACACACAUCAACUAGCCGCUUCACGAACCCAAAGUAGCUGCUGGGUAUGGGCUUGGCUGGCCAAAGACAGACUAUUACAUCCUUCAUGGCCAGUCCGACCACCCUGUGCAGCUUGGUCAGCUGCUUCAGCUGAUUGCUGGGGGGCGCCGGAUGCUCUGGCGCAAGGUAUUGCAACCAGAAUAGCUUCUCCAUUGAGCUCCCCUCUUCAGCUCGGAAGAACUUUGCGGCGUCAACAACACUCCCCGGCAGAUCCGCAAACGCGCCUGGAGAACUCCAAAUUCAGGUCAGCAGGAUGUAUCUCUUGUAAAUUUACUCUGCAGAAGAAAGGCCUUACCAGCCGCUAUCUGCCUCACCUCCCGGAUCUCCUGGCGAGCGCCCUGGGCUUCAACCCAGGCUUCCUUCACGCUCUUGAGAGCUGUGGUGAGCUCGGAGGCUUGUUCCGAACUCUUCUACUCCAAGGACUCGCACUUGGCAAUGGCAUCCUUGAGCUCCUGUUCGACCUCGCCCACCCGCGCCUUGUGUUAUUCGCGGGCGGUUCGCUCCACCUCCAACUCCUUCGCCGCUUUGUCAGCGACCGCCCUGCUCACCUCCGCCUCUUUUUUGGCUUGGGCAAGGGCACUCUUGAGGGACUCGACCUCGGCUGCGCCAACUAUGAGUAUAGUCAUAAAACUUAGUAAAUUUCAAGAAUUAUCACACAUAUUACUUCGGGAAUGUACAAGUGCCGCAUACCUUGCGUUUCGUCAAACUGCUUGUUGACGCGGUCGAGCUCCUCAUUGGCUAGCCGAAGCUUCCGAUUGAGCUCGGUAACCUCUGCGGCUUGGGCAGUAGCCGCCAGCAUAGAUGCCUGUCCAACAAGAUAGCAUGAUACAUUAUCAACUUGUUUUGAUCCUCUGUCCGGAUUGUUCUAAUCCGGACAGAGUCUCAGGGGCUACUGUCUAUACAUGGGUUCAACUUUGCAUAAAAAAACUUGUAAGAGAAUUACAUCGCAUACCUCAAAGCCUGUCAGUAGGUUGUUGAAGGCUUCGUUCAGUCCACUUUUCGCGGACCGAACUUUCUCCAUAACUGCACCCAUCAGGGUGCGGUGCUCCUCCAUGAUGGAAGCACGUUGCAGUGCUUCCUCCAGAGUAUGAGCGGCCUCUGUAUUAACAGAGGCUGCCAAUGGAGCUGCUGCUCCUCCCCCCCUCUGUCGAAGGGGGGUGUUGGGCCAAACUCGGAGCCGCAUUGGUCUCCGGGACGGUGUUCGGCGCGGGCCUGAAUNNNNNNNNNNNNNNNNNNNNNNNNNNNNNNNNNNNNNNNNNNNNNNNNNNNNNNNNNNNNNNNNNNNNNNNNNNNNNNNNNNNNNNNNNNNNNNNNNNNNNNNNNNNNNNNNNNNNNNNNNNNNNNNNNNNNNNNNNNNNNNNNNNNNNNNNNNNNNNNNNNNNNNNNNNNNNNNNNNNNNNNNNNNNNNNNNNNNNNNNNNNNNNNNNNNNNNNNNNNNNNNNNNNNNNNNNNNNNNNNNNNNNNNNNNNNNNNNNNNNNNNNNNNNNNNNNNNNNNNNNNNNNNNNNNNNNNNNNNNNNNNNNNNNNNNNNNAAAUCUAUCCUUUUUCCCAAUUUUAGUUUUUGGCAGAUUUUAGCAACUUAGCACAAUUCAAGCAAUCUUAACACAAUUCAAGCAAUCAUGCAAAGAGUAUAUGAGCAGCGGAAAGUAAAGCAUGCAACUUGUAAGAAUGUAAAGGGAAGGGUUUGGAGAGUGCAAAUGCAAUAGGAGACACAUAUGUUUUUGUCGUGGUUCCGAUAGGUGGUGCUAUCGUACAUCCAUGUUGAUGGAGACUUCAACCCAUGAAGGGUAACGGCUGCGUGAGUCCACAGAGGGAUCCACACAUGAAGGGUCCAUCAAGAAGCAACUUCUCUAUCCCACCAUGGCCGUCGCCCACGAAGGACUUGUCUCACUAGGGGUAGAUCUUCACGAAGUAGGCGAUCUCCUUGCCCUUACAAACUCCUUGGUUCAACUCCACAAUCUUGUCGGAGGCUCCCAAGUGACACCUAGCCAAUCUAGGAGACACCACUCUCCAAGAAGUAACAAAUGGUGUGUUGAUGACAAACUCCUUGCUCUUGUGCUUCAAAUGAUAGUAUCCCCAACACUCAACUCUCUCUCACAGGAUUUGGAUUUUGUGGAAAGAAGAUUUGAGUGGAAAGCAACUUGGGGAAGGCUACAGAUCAAGAUUCAUAUGGUAGGAAUGGAAUAUCUUGGCCUCAACACAAGUGUAGGUGGUUCUCUCUCAGAAAAUGUAUGUUGGAAGUGUAGGCAUGUUCUGAUGGCUCUCUCCACGAAUGAAAAGUGGGUGGAGGGGUAUAUAUAGCCUCCACACAAAAUCUAACGUUACACACAACUUACCAAUCUCGAUGGGACCGAAUUGAGAAACUCGGUCGGACCAAUUCGGAAAAUAAUGUGACCGUUAGGAUUUUCGGUGGGACCGACAUGCAACUCGGUAGUACCGAUAUGGUUAGGGUUAGGGCAUAACGUAAUCUCGGUGAGACCGAUUACACAAACUCGGUGGGACCAAUUUUGGUAAAGGACACACAGAGGGUUGGUCAGGCAAACUCGAUGGGACCGAUUCGCUCAUCUCGGUAAGACCGAAACGUUACGAAAAGGAAACAGAGAGUUUGCAUUGUAAUCUCGGUGGGACCGAUCACUCAUCUUGGUUUGACCAAAACUUUACGAAGGGAAACAGAGAGAUUACAACCCCAUCCCGGUGAAACCGAGAUCCCUAUCGGUGAGACCGAUUUUCCUAGGGUUUGUAGCAGUGGCUAUGACAUCUGAACUCGGUGGCGCCGAAUAGGAAAAAUCGGUGGGGCCGAGUUGGACUUAUGGUUUGGGUCAUAUGUGGAUGUGAGAAAGUAGUUGAGGGCUUUGGAGCAUAUCACUAAGCACUUUGAGCAAGAAAGCCAUUAAGCAACACCUCAUCCCUCCUUGAUAGUAUUGGCUUUUCCUAUAGACUCAAUGUGAUCUUGGAUCACUAAAAUAGAAAAUGUAGAGUCUUGAGCUUUGAGCUUGAGCCAAUCCUUUUGUUCUUAGCAUUUUGAGGGAUCCACUUUUCUCAUCCAUGCCAUGCCAAUCAUUGAGCUUUCCUGAAAUAUUUAUCUUGAAGUAGCAUUAGCUCAAUGAGAUAUAUGUUGUUAGGAAUUACCAAAACCAUCCAGGGAUAGUUGCACUUUCAAUCCCCCUCUUUUUGGUAAUUGAUAACAACAUAUAGAUCAAAGCUUUGACAAAUGAUAAUAAUAUUGAAAAACAUUGUCGCUUUGAGAAGUAUGUGAGAAGUAAGAGCUCCCCCUAAAUUUGUGCAUUAUUUAAAAUUUUCUUUGGACUGCAAAUGCACAAUGAGUUAGGAUCAUGGCUUACUCUUCCAUGUCACAUACAUCUUGGUGGAGCGCUCAAAAUGAUAAUAAUUAAAUACAUGCACUCAUCACCAAGCAAAGUGAAUGAUCAUAUGAGAAUAUAAGAGAUAAUGUCAUCCAACAAGCAUUAAGGUAGCAUAUGAUCAAACACAUGAUCAUCCAAGUAUCUCACACAAGGCAUAGAGUAUCAAGCAAACAAGCAAAUAACGAAGUUCAACCACCAAAAAGACAAGAGAGACCAAACGCAACACUCUCUCUCGAAGCCUAUGAUCUAUACAUUUCUCCCCCUUUGGCAACAAGUUACCAAAAAGUUCAUAGAAAAUGCAUAGUGCUAAACGACUCUCAGGCUUGGUCUUCAUGUGAUGGUGUAGAGGUGGCUCCUUGGACAAAGACUUCUAUUGAUGUAGCUGGAGCUAGUGGAGAGGGUGCUGGAGCUGGAUGUACUGAAGCUAUAGCUGGUGCAGAUGAUGUAGCUCUGGUGUCUGGAAUAGGCACUGCAGCAGAUCUCUGUCCUCUGGGCACUCUAGCAAAAGCAUUAGUAGUUGACUUGCCCUUCUUCUCCUCCACAUCCUCCUGAAGUUGCUCAACUGCAGUUUGGAUCUCAGUGACUUUGACAUCAAGAGCAUAAAACUUUUGCUCUAUGAUUCUCUCCAAGCUCUCCUGGUUAUGAGUCAGGGUGGCCAAGCCCUUCUCAAUCCUCAGAGUGGAGGCAAUUAAGUAGCCAAGAUGAUCUUGCUUGCUCUUCAGGAAAAUCUGAGAUGCCUCGUCAGUAGUUGGCAUCUUUGCAGCCUUCUCAGCCCUUGCCUUCUCCUUCUUCUCUUGUGCUUGCGCAGAUGAUGGUUCAUUUUCAUCCAUGACAACGGUGUUGUCCUCAAAGUCAGGGUAGAUGGGCAGGUGUUCCUUGUCCAAGCGAUAUAUGCCAGUGCCCAUCUUGGAGUUUAUAUGCUCCUGAAUCUGUGGGGGCAUACCCACAACUCCUCUUCUGAUCAGCAGCAGUUGUUUUGAUUGUUUCCACAGUCAGGCUCAUGACUUUGAACUUCUGAGGCACAUCAAAUAUAUGAAGCAAGUUAAUUGCAUGGCCUCUGAUCAUCUUGUGAUCACCUGACUUGGGCAACAAAGUGUGCCUUAAGAUCCAGUUGAUAGUGGGCAGUCCUGACAACAGAUAAUGUACUGAUCCAAACUUGUGUGUCUCUAGUGCAGCAUCUGGGAUCUCUCUGUACAUGUGAGCCAUGGAGUUGUGAUAUUUCUUCUUCUUGGCGUAGACAUCCAAGUCAUCCUCGUUCUCCUUUGGAGCAUUGAUCAAUUCAGACCAUUCUUCAACUGUUGAUUGGUACCUUGUACCCUCAGACAUCCAGACUAUCCUCCCAUCUGGGUAGAAAUGAGCUGUGGAGUAGAACUGCAUAAUGAGCUCAUCAUUCCACUUUGUGAGCUUCUGCCCAAUAAAGUCUACUACUCCACAAGACUUGAAACUGUCAUAAACUCCAGGAUAGUGCUCUUCAUUCUUCUUGAUAUAGUCCUAGUCAACCCAUCUCAUAUCACAAACUAUGGGCUUCUUGUCAAGCAGCACUGUCUCAUAGAAAUCCUGCUGUUCCUUAGUAUGGAACCUGUAGUCCACAACAGUUCUUCUCCUGACAACGUAGGGGUCAGUCAGUCUCCACUGUCUAAGACAUGCAUCCUUCCUGAGCUUCAUGUCUUCUGCAACUGGGUGAGCAUCAUUAUGAUCUAGGAUCUUGGGUUUCAGCUUUCUCAAGAAAAGUGAGUCCUCAUCUUCUUCAUCAGCAGCUUCAGGCACUAGGGCCUUGUUCUUCUCUGCAGCUGGAAUACUCCUGGUGUUCCUCUUGGGUGUAGACUUGAGAUUAGGAGCAGCAGCCUUGGGAGCAUCUUUGGGCUUAGAUGGAGCAGCCCCUGAUCUUAUAGCAUCUCCCAUUAGCUUUUAAGCUUUAGGUGUUGGUGCAGCAACCUCUUCCUGUUCUUCUUCAGAGUCUCUCCUCAUAGAGGGCUUGCCAAGUACUUUGGCAGUAGUGGUUCUGAGUCUUUUCUUUUUCUUGUCUUGGCCAGCAGCUUCAUUAUCAGACUCAAUGGUGAACUUCAUGGUUUCACCAGUGGCAACCUUCCUAGGUUUGGAAGUGGGAAUCCUUCUUGCAGGUGCCUUCUUCUGCAUUCCUGGCUUAGUGGAUGCAGCUGAGCCAUAUUCCUUCUUCAACACUUUCUUCUUUGAGGUGGCCUCAUCCUCAAUAGCCACAUAGUCCUCAUCCUUAGAAUCUGAGGUCUUCUUCUUUCUGGCCCUGGUGACUACCUUUGGCAAGUUGCUGGGUGUGCUCCUGCUGCCAUCAUCAUAGCUGGUAGAGGGACUAGUGCCCACACUCAUCUGAACUUGCUCCUCAGACUUGUUCUGACUAUCACUCUGAUCUGACAUGGUGCAAACUCUGACAGCAGACCCUGUGAAUAGAUAUAGAUGAGGUAGAGUGGAUGAGCAUCACAAAGCACAGAGUUUUUUGCAAAAGAAUUUGAGUCAAAAACUUAGUUUUAGUUUUCCACAUAAAGCAUUUCAGAGCUACCGAUUUGUAAACUCGGUGAUACCAAAGCAGCUUUCGGAACCUAAACUAGUGAACUCCGUCAGACCGAGUCACAGUUCAGUGGCACCGAUACUGCUAGGAUUUCACAAAGUCCUGAAUUCGGUCACACCGAUUUGCAAUUCUCGGUCAGACCAAGAAACACAUGUGCAAUGGCCUGAGACAAAACAGUGGGACCAAUUUCUACAACUCGGUCAGUCCGAGAUGAGUUCGGCGGAAACCUAACCCUAAAUUUUCAAUCCAAAACUAAUCUACGGAGUGAUUUCGCUGGAUAGGAAGAUCUCAAUCGUGGCAAGAUACAUGGCAACACAAUGUGCUAGGAAUCGGAGUUGGGAAUAGCACAAAGAUUCAAAUCCAUACCCUAAUGCGGUGAUGGACUUGCUACGGCGGCAACGGCGGAGUAGUAUCCCGUUGACGGCGGCGGAGACCAGCGGCUGGAGGUCGCUGGCGAAGAGGAGGAUGAUCCGAAGACCCGAGGAGGCAGAGCAGGCUGUGCACGGGCGAAGAGGUUCGAAUUUUUUUCCAAAUUUUGGCUCGGGGGUAUAUAUAGCCUGACCCUGUCGGUGUGACCGAGUGGAACAACUCGGUGGCACCGAGAUGCAUAACUGCAAGCAGUUACUGCAACUCGGUGUGACCGAAAAGUUCAAAUCGGUUGCACCGAGAUUGAAAACCUAGAUCAACUUAGUGAUCUCGGUAUGACCGAAAUGGAUGGAUCGGUCAGACCGAAACGCACAAAGAGGUUUUGGAAGUUUAAGUCUAUGAUGAAUCGGGGACUCGGAGUGCUCCUCACAUAGAGUGGUUCUAAUCUGACUUGAUCAAAUUUUGUGAUGUAGCAUGAAUAGAGUUUGAGACAAGAAAAGCAUAGAUAGCUAGAGAAGGUUCUUAGGCAUUCUUGUCCAUCCACUUGGCAAAAGAAAAGAAACCAAACAAUCAAAACUACAAGUGGAUGUCCUCGAAUGAGUAAAAUAUGCAGCCAACAUGCUCACACAAUAAAAUGGCAAAUGAAAUAUGUGACAAAGCAUGCACAACCAUUCUAGCAUCUAUCAAGCAAUUGGCGAUGACUAGGUCACCUAUAUAUGAGUAUAUUGACUUAGGAGUCAAAUGAGAACAUUUGAUCAUAUGUCAUACUCAUCAUUUAAGCACAAGUGGGGUUACCGCUUUUACAUAAAGCAUUGUUGUGUUCAUGCCAUUAAAGUUGCUUUGGCUCAAUCCUUAGAGUAAAGCUCCCCUAGAUGUGAGAUCCCCCCUAAGAGGGAUGAACUAACCUUGGGUUUUGUCGAUGAUGACUUCAUGUAGGUGUUGAAAAUGUGGAUGCUCAAUGUUGAUGUAGAUCAUUUGGAGCAAUCCUUUGGAGUGAGUUGCACUUUCAAUACCUACACGGGUUAGUCCCACAAGGAACAAACAAGGAUAUCCAUAGACAUAGAGCGAUGCACACACAAUAUGAUGUCCAUGAAAGCAUUAGGUUACCUUGUCCCUUGUCUUACCAACAAGAGGGUUUGUGACUCCUUGAACUAGUGCAAGAUGUGGAAGUUGAUUGCACUUGUCCUUGCCAAAAUGAUAAGAGUGAAAUAUGUUGGCAGAGUCACCCUAAAAACCUCUCUAGUUCUUCUUGUUUGGGAUCCACAUCAUCUUGAUGGGAAUCCUUGGAGUUGUAGUUGUACUCGAUGAAGUAGAACUUGAUGUAGUCUUGGGAACCCACUUGACCAAGGCCUUAGGAGCUUCUUCAAAUGCAUCAAUCUCCUCUUGAAGCUUAUCCUUGCCUUUAUGCUUGUGGUCUUGUGGUGGAAGAUCAUCUUGAGCUUGUGUCCCUUUGAAAGAAGUAGGAUCAUACUUCUCUUGUUGAGGAACAAACUUCGUCUUGGGGUAUUGAUCUUCUUCCCACUCAACUCCAUUGGCAUUGAACUUUCGUUCAAAACCAACACCUUGGUUCUUCCGGUGCCUUCCUUGCUUGCGUACAAUUUCCUCGAAUUGCUUACUCCCGGCAAGGCUCUUGUAAACACCUUUCUCUAUAAUUCCCUUCAAUAAGCUAUUUUCUUGUUCAAGUGUAACUUGGCUAAGAGAUUCAUUAGUGGAAUCAAGAGAACUACUAGAAGCAACAACAUUGGAUUUAGCAUGAUUAUUGUUACUACUAGAGGAAGAAUCUUUCUUGUUCUUGUUACUAGACUUGACUUGAGGCAUGUAAGUAGAUAAGAGUAAACGCUUGGCAAUGUAAGAAGAACUUUUCUUGUGAAGAUCAUCAUUGAUUGCUUUUAAAAACUCAUGUUCUUGCUCAAGGUUAAGCUUUUCAAAGCGUAACUUCUCAUGAGUCCUUAAAAGUUCUCGAUGAUCUCCUAAGAUAGUUUCAUGAGCUAACUUAAGAGUGUUUAGUUCUUUAGUUAGGAGCUCAAUAUUCUCCUUAUCAUUGUCAUUCAUUUUAUCUUGAUUAGCAUGAUUAAUUGAUGUUUCAUCAUAGUAUUCAUCACUAGAGUUGUCAACAAGUAAAUCAUCAUCACCUAACAAGUCAUCUUCAUCACUAUUGAAAUGAACAUACUCGGGGUGUGAUACCUUUGGGCCUUUAGCCAUGAAGCAUCUUCCAAGUCCUUCAUUUGGUGAAUCAAAUAUGCCGUAGGAGUUGGUUGAUACAAGUGCUAGACCGGCAACACCUUCAUCUUGAGUAUAUUCAGAAUCGGAGUGAUAGUUUCUCUCAGAGUGAUUGUCGGAGUUGGAGCCGGAUACCCAUUCACCAACAUGAGCUUGAUGUCUUUGUUUUGUGUAGCUCCUUGAUGACUUGUCCUUCCUUUCCGAAUCCUUGCUUCUCCGGGAUGUUCUUCGUUCAUAAUGAUCAUAUCUACUCCUUCUCUCUCUUGAUGGUGAUUCUUCUCUUCUACUUCUUCUUUUUGGAGAAUCUUCUCUUCUUUUGUAGGGUGCCGUACACUCAUUGGAAUAGUGUCCGGGUCUUCCACAAUUGUAGCAAUUACGCUCACGACUAGAAGAUCUUUUGUCAUUGUAAGACCUUGACUUGGAACUUCUUUCCUUGCUUCUACUCUUGUAGAACUUGUUGAAGUUCUUCACCAUUAGGCUCAAUUCUUCAUUGAAGGUUUGUUUCUCACUUGAUGAUGUGGGAGCUUCACAUGAGGCUUUGUAAGAACCACUUGACUUGUUGUGGAGCUCCUCCUUAUCCUUGAGUGACAUCUCAUGAGCAACAAUUCUUCCAAUGACUUCCGUUGGCUUGAGAUCUUUGUAAUUGGGCAUCAUUUGGAUCAAUAUGCACACAGUAUCAUAUUUUCCGUCCAAAGCUCUUAGGAUCUUCUUGAUGAUGAAUUUGUCGGUCAUCUCUUCACUUCCUAAGAUGGCAAUCUCAUUUGUAAUAAGAGCAAGCCUAGAGUACAUUUCGGCGACGCCUUCACCAUCCUUCAUUUUGAACUUGUCAAGCUGACUUUGAAGCACAUCCAACUUGGAUUCCUUGACGGAAUCGGUACCUUCAUGCAUAUAAACCAAAGCAUCCCAAAUUUCCUUUGCAUUCUCAAGAUGGCUGAUUUUGUUGAAUUCUUCGGGGCACAAUCCGUUGAAGAGGAUAUCACAAGCUGGAGCAUUGUAUUACAACAUCUUCAACUCUUCCGCGGUAGCUUCACGGUUCGGUUCUCUCCCAUCAAAGAAUUCACCUUGCAAGCCAAUACACACAAUAGCCCAAACGGCGGGGUUAUGUCCAAGAAUAUGCAUUUUCAUCUUAUGCUUCCAACUAGCAAAAUUAGUACCAUCAAAGUAAGGACCUCUACGGUGGUAAUUUCCCUUGCUAGACGCCAUACUCUCCUAGGUUGUGAAACCAAGGCUAUGACCCCCAAAAGCUAUGAAGAUCAAAGCAAAUGGAGACCAAAGCUCUGAUACCACUCGUAGGAUCGAAAGUCUGUCUAGAGGGGUGGGGGUGAUUAGACUACUUGACCAAAUAAAAAUCUAUCCUCCCUGACAUUGCGCGGUCGAAGCUCGUCAUCCGUCAGAUGUCCCGCCUCCUGGGCAAGGUGGUGGUGGUCGAUGAGCUCUUGCUGCGCAAAGAGGAGGAGGUUCUGGUCAAGGUCAAGUGCCUCGACUCCUCCAAGCUCCGCACCAUCAUCCGCGUGUUCUUCAACGACCAGGGCUUCGACCUCAGGAUCUCCCCUGAGCCUCCCAACCACGUCGACCGCCCCUGCUCCUUGGACGCCGGCCUCCCGGGUGGCAACCCGGGGGCGGACGGCGACUUCCGCAGUCGCCACCAUGCUCGCUCGCAUCACUCUAAUGACGAGGGGGAUCGGAGGACUCCCGCUCCCCUUCCCCCUCGCCUCCGCCGCCGGCUGCCGGGGGCAAGGGUCACCAGGCUACUCCCCUCCUGGCGCUCGGCGACCCCCUGGUCCACACGGCAUCUUCCUCCGAGGAGAGCGACAUCUCCAGUGUCAACCUGGUCGUCUGCCCGGCUUCUUCCCAUGCUCCCCCUCUUCGGCAGAUCUCGUUUCACCGGGUCCGGAGCUGCCCCCCCUCCCGGCUGCCACUCCGGAUCCCGGUCAGCUGCUCCCCGUGCCGUCGGCUCCCCCUGAGGUGGCUGUAGCCCUGGGGCUCGACGCCCACCCCCCGGCGUCCCCCCUCGCUGCCGCUCAGCCUCCUCCCCCGAGGCACUCCCGCCUCUGCUGCUCCCUCCCUCAGCUCCGACCACGACACCGACCCUCCUCAGCUGCGCAGGGCCCGACCUUUUGGCCUCUCCCACUGGGGCCUUGACCUUGGAUGGGGAGGCCAGGGUGACCACCCCCAUGGCCGCCCAGCCACCCCCUCCUCGGUCUGCUGCCUACUCUCGCCGGGGCAGAUCGGCUUCCUCCCCAGUGACGGUGUCUCGUCAGAGUGCUCGGCUGGAUGCUGCUCAUCCCGAGGGCAGUCCGGCUCUGCCCAUCUCUGAGCAGGCGGAGAUCCGAGCCGCUGCUCGGAACCUGGAGCCAGGUACGCCCACCGUCCACCCCUCGGCGUCAUCUUGCUCCUUCUCUGCUCUCGAGUCGACCCCCCUUGGCAACCUUGCGAAGGUGGCCUCGGAUUCUGCGAUCAUUUUUCGGGGGGAAUCUGGCCCCCCCUUAGCCCAGAUUGCGGCAAUCUGUGCCCGUGAGAUCCUGGAUGGGGAGCUCGCGGAGGCCCGUGUGGCUCUCCUCUUGCCCCCUGUCCCUCCCCCCUCUGGGGAGAACUCUCUGCCGGCCGAGCCGCGGCAGAUCGGUCCUCCUCCCCCGAUGGGAGUGACCGAGAUCCGGGGCCGCACCCAUUCCUGCACUGCGGCUCUCCGGGCCCAAAGUGCCUCUCGUGUUCUGGGGUCAAGCAGCCCCCCAAUGGCUCCUUAAUGCGUGCUCUAUUCUGGAACAUCCGCGGUUUCGGCCAUGAUGGCCGACACCGCCAACUCAUCGAGUACAUGCGUGACGAACACAUUGACAUUGUCGCCAUCCAGGAGACCAUGCGACUUGAAUUCUCGCUUCCUGAGCUCGACCGCCUGAGCUCCCACCUCUUUGCGUGGCAUUGGCUCCCUUCUAGUGGGAACGCCGACCACUCGGGUGGCAUCCUUUUAGGCGUAAAGGAUGCCACCUUUGAGGUGGGCAGCAUGGACCGAGGGGAGUUCUUCGUGAGCAUGGAACUUUUCAAGAGGUCCCUCAACUUCAAGUGGGAGGUCAUCAUUGUCUACGGGCCCGCAAACCAUAGUCAGUCUGCUGCCUUUCUCGAGGAGCUCCACCGGAAGAUUUCCUCGGCCCCCCUCCCGGUGGUGGUUGGUGGCGAUUUUAACCUCCUCUGCGUGGUGGAGGACAAGAGCAAUGCCAAUGUCUGCUUUGCCCGGAUGUAGAUGUUCAAUGACUUCAUUGCCGACCUUGGCCUCCGUGAGAUUGACCGGAUUGGUGCCAGAUUCACCUGGACCAACCGGCAAGCCUCCCCGACCCAGUCCGUCCUGGACCGGGUCCUAGUGUCCCCGGAAUGGGACCUCCGUUGCCCCUUAGCCUCCCUCCGCGCCAUCACCAGGAUUGGCUCGGACCACGUCCCCCUUCUCCUCUCUUCUGCUGACGAGCGCCCUCCCGUCCCCCCCAGAUUCCGGUUCGAGACAUUCUGGCUCUCUCAAACCGGUUUCACUAAGGCGGUUGGCUCUCGGUGGAUCGAGGCUCGCUCCCAUCCCCACCCCCGCCCCCUCGGCCAUUGACUCGUGGCACUUCUGCACGAAGCGCGCCCGUCAGCUCAUGAAGGGGUGGGGGGCUAAUCUGGGGCGCGACCUUCGUGAGCGUAAGAAGUCAUUGUUAUCAGCAAUCCAGACCCUUGACAUGCGCGCUGAUACUGUUGGGCUUUCUCCAUAUGAGUGGCUGUCCCGGUACGACCUAGAAGACCAGCUCUCUGUGAUCUAUACCGAUGAGGAGGCCUAUUGGCGCCUCCGGGGGGCUCAGAAGUGGGUAUUGAAGGGCGACGCGAAUACGGCAUACUUCCAGGCCAUUGCCAAUGGCCGCCGUAGACGCAAUACCAUCCCCCUCUUGUGGGAGGGGGAGACACUUCUGCAGUCCCCCCACGACAUCCGGUCUCACGCCGACGGAUUCUAUAGAUCCUUGUUCUCAGCCGCUCCUCGGAGUGGCCUUUCUCUUGCCCAUGACUGUUGGGCCGGAUCCCGGUUGGUGUCUGAUGCGGAGAACUCGGCCCUAACGGCCCCUUUCUCCGAGCAGGAGGUUUGGGAGGCCAUUAAGGGCAUGAAUUCCUCCUCUGCACCGGGUCCGGAUGGCCUUCCUGUGAGAUUCUUCCAGGCCUUCUGGAACGUGAUUAAACCGGAGGUCAUGGCUAUCUUCGAUGAGUUCUACGUUGGCUCCAUUGACCUCGGGCGACUCAACUACGGGAUUAUCUCGCUCAUCCCGAAGGUUGCCGGGGCGUCUGACAUUCGUCAAUUUUGGCCGAUUACGGUCAUCAACGUCAUCUUCAGGAUCCUGGCUAAAGGGUACGCCAAUAGGGUGACCCUGCUGGCCGACCGUGUCAUGCACCCCAACCAGACGACUUUCAUUAAGGGCCGGUACAUCCUAGAUGUGGUCCUAGUCCUUCAUGAAGUCCUCCAUGAGGUCCGCUCCAAAAACCUCAAGGCGGUCUUCCUGAAGAUUGACUUUCAUAAAGCCUACGACACGGUUAGCUGGUCCUUCCUUAGGGAGGUCCUUCUUCGGAAGGGCUUUGACGACCGGUGGGUUACUCGUGUCAUGCAAAUGGUCACGUGCGGUCGUACGGUCGUGAACAUCAACGGCGAGAUUGGCCCCUUCUUCCCCACCCUAUGUGGGGUUAGACAAGGCGAUCCCUUCUCCCCGUUCUUGUUCAAUAUGGUCGUAGACGCGCUAGCAUCCAUCCUUGAUAAGGCAAAAGCCGCGGGCCAUAUUCGUGGGAUCACUCCCCACCUCGCCGGGGGCUCUAGGAUAUCCAUUCUCCAGUAUGCCGACGACACUAUCAUUAUGGUUGAAGGCUCGGAGAAUGAUAGCGCCAACCUCAAGUUCCUUCUCCUCUGCUUCCACCAGAUGUCGGGUCUCAAGAUCAAUUUCGACAAGAGCGAUGUGAUGGUGAUGGGAUACCCCCCUGCAGAGUCUUUGGCCAUCGCCAACAGGCUUAAUUGCCGCAUGGGCACUCUUCCCACUACUUACUUGGGAACGCCCAUUAGUGACUCCAGGCUUACCGUCCUGGACUUGCGCCCCUCAGUGGCCAAGCUGCAAACCCGCGUCGAACCCCGGCAGGGGCGGUGGUUAUUCCAAAGCAGCCAGGACUAUUCUCAUCAAUUCUUCUCUCUCCAGUCUCCUCUUGUUCCUAAUGAGCUUCUACAACCUCCACGAGACCCUCCACAAGGAGAUUGCCAAGAUCCAGUCCCGCUUUUACUGGGCGGCUGACAAGGAGAAGCAGAAAUACCAUAUGGUCAGCUGGCCUGACAUCUGCAAGCCCCGGGAGCAGGGGGGCAUUGGCAUCAUGUGCUCUAAACGGAUGAACAUUGCCCUCCUCUCCCGCUGGCUCUGGCGAAUCUCGCAGGGACAUGGUGGUCUUUGGCUUGACAUCCGGAACAAAUACCUGCAUGGGCAGCCUCUCGCCCUCUGCCAGAAGUCCGAAGGCUCUUAGUUCUGGUAGUGGAUCGUCCAGCUCCUUCCGGUCCUCCGUAUCGGGACAUCCAUCUCGGUGGGCGUGGGAUCUUCGACGCUGUUCUGGUUUGAUCGGUGGGCCAGGGACUCUCCCUUCGCAUCUCGCUUCCCUAGUCUCUUCUCCAUUGCCGUUGACCCCGUGAUCUCCGUUGAUAGGGCCCUUCUUGACUUAGGGCACCUUGCUUUCCGGCGGGCCUUUGGUCCAAUGGAAUCUGCCGCCUGGCGUGAGUUACUCGACUGUAUUGCUCUACACGAACCCUCGCUGGAUGGUGGGCCUGACCUAGUCCGGUGGCGCCUUGAACCUUCGGGCCAAUUCUCCACCAAAUAUCUCUACCUGGCCAUCGCACCAUCUGCCGCCCCUCUCCCUCUCUCGCUUGUCUGGUCCAUCGCUUGCCGCUGAAGAUCCGUAUCUUCAUGUGGCAAUGGAUUCGUGGCCGGAUCCCGUCCGGGGUGGAGGUUCUCAAGCGCAAUGGCCCGGGCACUGGCCUCUGCCCUCUCUGUGGGGUUCCCGAAGAUUUGAACCACAUUUUCUUCUCCUACGUGUCCGCCCAGUUCCUCUGGAGUUGUUUUCGCGAAGUGGUCGGCGGAAAUUGGUGCCACACCAACUUCCCUGACUUAUUUGACGAACUCCAGUCGUCCCCCGCGACUUCUCGCCACAUUAGGUGGCUUGAGAUUGGGGUCCUCGCCUGGACCCUCUGUACUGUUUGCAAUAAGCUCGUGAUUCAGCGCACUCCUCUUCGGCGAUCUACUGACGCGCUCUUUAAACUGUCGAGUUUUUUUGCAGCUUUGGCGGCCGCUUAGCCGUCCCCUGGACCGUGACGCCAUCUCAGCCUUCAUCGCCGACCUCCGAUCGAUGGCCGUCCGCCUGUCGCCGCCUCCCCCGCCGCCUCCGCCGGAGCCGGACUAGACGUCUCCUUCGCCCGGCAUUUGCUGCCUUUUUUUAUUUUUUGUUUGGGCUUGUUGAGCUGUGCCCUCAGCAGAACCUAUGUACUUGUUUGUGUGACUUGGGUGCGUGAGUGUGUAUGCACUUGACUCUGCUUGUUUGUCCUUGACGGUUUGCUUUAUUUAUAAAGCGGGGCGAAAGCCUUUUUUGGUAUCAUAUUUCUUGAGUUUAUCCAUCUACAUCAUGUCAUCUUGCUUAAUGCGUUACUCUGUUCUUAUGAACUCAAUACUCUAGAUGCAGGCAGGAGUCGGUCGAUGUGUGGAGUAAUAGUGGUAGAUGCAGGCAGGAGUCGGUCUACUUGUUACGGACGUGAUGCCUAUAUACAUGAUCAUGCCUAGAUAAUCUCAUAAUUAUUCGCUUUUCUAUCAAUUGCUCGACAGUAAUUUGUUCACCCACCGUAAUACUUAUGCUAUCUUGAGAGAAGCCACUAGUGAAACCUAUGGCCCCCGGGUCUAUCUCUUAUCAUAUUUGCUUCCAAUCUACCUUUAUUUGCAUCUUUACUUUUUUGCAUCUAUAUUAUAAAAUACCAAAAAUAUAUUUAUCUUAUCAUAUAGAUCUCACUUUCGCAAGUGGCCGUGAAGGGAUUGACAACCCCUUUCUUGCGUUGGUUGCGAAUUCUUUGUUUGUUUGUGUAGGUGCGUGGGACUUUUGAGGAGCCUCCUACUGGAUUGAUACCUUGGUUCUCAAAAACCGAGGGAAAUACUUACGCCACUAUUGUUGCAUCACCCUUUCCUCUUCAAGGAAAACCAACGCAAGCUCAAGACGUAGCAAGAAGGAUUUCUGGCGCCGUUGCCGGGGAGGUCUUCGCUCAAGUCAAGACAUACCAAGUACCCAUGACAAACCCAUCUCCCUCGCAUUUACAUUAUUUGCCAUUUGCCUCUCGUUUUCCUCUCUCCCACUUCACCCUUGCCGUUUUAUUUGGCCUCUCUUUCCCAAUCUUCUCCUCUCUCUUUCCGCUUGCCUUUUUCCAUUUGCCCGUGUGUUAGUUCUUUUACCUUGUCGUUAUGGCUAGCCCUCCUAUCCUUAUUCUCACGCCCGAACAAGAAAUUCUCAAUUUUAAGCAAAGGGAGGGAGAAAAUUUAAAAGAUGCUUGGCAUAGAAUUUUCAAUGCCCAAUAUAAAUCUACUAGGAAGCUUUCUACUUCCGUUCUUCUCCGCAAUUUUUAUGUAGGCAUCACUCCUUGGAAUAGAUGUGUUCUUGAUAUUGCUACCGGAGGUGAUUUCAUGAGUAGACAUACGUUUGAUGCUUAUAAUGCUAUGUUAGAUUUGUUUGGCCCGCCACCUCUUUUGAUCAAUGGAACUGUUUUAACUUUAGAACACGUUAUGCAACGGCUUGAGAUUAUUGAAAAUAAGAUUGCCACUGUUGAGUUGAUUGAAAACUUAGAUAAAAAGAUUCAUAAUCACAUCACCCAAUAUGGAUCUAGGGUUGGAGUUACUUUGAAAAAUCUUAAAGAAAAAGAACCUAUAGUCAAUGAAAAAAUAGAUCUAGACUCUGCUAGAAUUGGUAAACUUGAGGAUAUCAUUACAAAUUUAGGUUCCGCGUUUUCCUCCAUGAAAAACACUCCAAAACCGCCCACUAAAACUGCUAAUUUUAUUUAUGUUCCUAAAAAUAAGGGUGAAUCUUCUAGUAAGGGAGACGCGGAUCUCAAAUCCAUAAGUAUUCAUCCGAAUUGUCUCUCUCUAUUGUUAAGGAACCUUUUGCUACCAACGAAUUUCUUGAAUUUUUGCUAAAAAGGGAUAAACCUCAUAGGUCACAAGUGCUCUACUUAUGAAUUUAGUGCCAAAGAUGGUACUCGUUAGAUCUAUCUUCGCUUUUAUGCCUAGCUAGGGGCGUUAAACGAUAGCGCUAGUUGGGAGGCAACCCAAUUUUCUUUAUGUUUUUGUUUUUGUUCCUGUUUAGUAAUAAAUCUUGCAUCUACCUUCUGUUUAGAUGUGUUUUCAUCUUUUAUUAGUGUUUGGGCCAAGUAGAACCUAUAGGAUAACCUAUGAUGAUGGUUGAUUUGAUUCUGCUGAAAAACAGAAACUUUGCGCGCACGAAUUUAGUUUUGUUAAAUCACAGAAACGUGCUUUUGCAUUAAUUAUUUUUUCUGCUGAUCAAUAAACAAAUUUUCCAGGACUUCCUAUUUUGGUAGGAUUUUUAGAGUUCCAGAAGUUUGCGUUAGUUACAGAUUGCUACAGACUGUUCUGUUUUUGACAGAUUCUGUUUUUCGUGUGUUGUUUGCUUAUUUUGAUGCAUCUAUGGCCAAUAAAAUAGUUUAUAAACUAUAGAGAAGUUGGAAUACAGUAGGUUUAACACCAAAAUAAAUAAAUAAUGAGUUCAUUACAGUACCUUAUGUGGUGGUUUUGUUUUCUUUCACUAAUGGAGCUUAUAAGAUUUCCUGUUGAGUUUUGUGUUGUGAAGUUUUCAAGUUUUGGGUAAAGCUUUUAUGGACUAUGGAAUAAGGAGUGGCAAGAGCCUAAGCUUGGGGAUGCCCAAGGCACCCCAAGAUAUUCAAGAAUAGCCAAAAUCCUAAGCUUGGGGAUGCCCCGGGAAGGCAUCCCCUCUUUCGUCUUCGUUCAUUGGUAACUUUACUUGGAGCUAUAUUUUUAUUCGCCACAUGAUAUGUGUUUUGCUUGGAGCAUCGUGUAUUAUAUUAGUCUUUGCUUUUUAGUUUACCACAAUCAUCCUUGCUGUACACACCUUUUGGGAGAAGCCUAUGUGCUUCACUUAUAUCUUUUGAGCUUGAUAGUUUUUGCUCUAGUGCUUCACUUAUAUCUUUUAGAGCACGGCGGUGGCUUAUUUUUGAAGAAAUUGCUAGUCUCUCAUGCUUCACUUAUGUCUUUUUGAGAGUCUUUUAGAACAGCAUGGUAUUUGCUAUGGUUACAAAGUUGGUCCUAGAAUGAUGAGCAUCCAAGUUGGGUAUAAUAAAAACUAUAAUAGGAAGAGAAUUGGAUGCUAUGAUCAAUUUGAUGCUUGAUAAUUGUUUUGAGAUAUAAAGGUAGUAAUGUUAGGGUCAUGCUAGUGGGUAAUUAUGAAAUUGAGAAAUAAUUUUGUUGAAGUUGGCAAGUCCCGUAGCAUGCAUGUAUGGUAAAAGUUGUGUGACAAAUUUGUUGCAUGAGGUGCUCUUUUGAUUGUCUUCCUUAUGAGUGGCAGUCGGGGAAGAUACCCGCUUAGCAUGGAAGAUACCGACUACCUUUCGUUGUUCCAUGAACGAUCCAUGCACACAAAAAGGAUAUUUAUUUUAAGUUUUUAGAGGUCGCACAUGCAAAUUUACUUAGGGCGGCAGGGUAAUAACGCAUAUAGGUAGGUAUGGUGGACUCAUCUGGAAUAACUUAGAUUUCAGGUUUUUGAUGUACAAACAGAGUUCCCACUUAGUACAUGCGAAGGCUAGCAAAUAGGUUGAGGAGCGGCCAGCUAGAGAGCAACAAUGGUCAUGAACAUGCAUUAUGCAUAAGUAACAUUGGACACUAGCAUGAGUAGGAUAUGAACACCAUGAACAUAAAUAUCAUAGAGGCCAUGUUGGUUUUGAUUCAACUACAUGCAUGAACAUGUGCCAAGUCAAGCCACUCGAACAUUCAGAGGAGGAUACCAUAUCAUCAUACUACACCACAAUCAUUUUAACGCAAUGUUGAUAUCCAAGAUAAGCCAUUAUUCACUCCUAGAUACUUAUGCAUGGCAUGAAACUAUAAUAUCUAAUUGUCAUUGCAAACAUGUUUGAUCAUAAUAGGCUGAAGCAUGGAUACUCGGUGAUACCAAAGCAACUUUUGGAACCUAAACUAGUGAACUCCGUUAGACCGAGUCACAGUUCAGUGGCACCGAUACUGCUAGGAUUUCACAAAGUCCUGAAUUCGGUCACACCGAUUUGCAAUUCUCGGUAAGACCAAGAAACACAUGUGCAAUGGCCUGAGCCAAAACGGUGGGACCAAUUUCUACAACUCGGUCAGUCCGAGAUGAGUUCGACGGAAACCUAACCCUAAAUUUUCAAUCCAAAACUAAUCUAUGGAGUGAUUUCGCUGGAUAGGAAGAUCUCAAUCGUGGCAAGAUACAUGGCAACACAAUGUGCUAGGAAUCGGAGUUGGGAAUAGCACAAAGAUUCAAAUCCAUACUCUAAUGCGGCGAUGGACUUGCUACGGCGGCAACGGCGGAGUAGAAUCCCGUUGACGGCGGCGGAGACCAGCGGCUGGAGGUCGCUGGCGACGAGGAGGAUGAUUCGAAGACCCGAGGAGGCAGAGCAGGCUGUGCGCGGGCGAAGAGGUUCGAAUUUUUUUCCAAAUUUUGGCCCGGGGGUAUAUAUAGCCUGACCCUAUCGGUGUGACCGAGUGGAACAACUUGGUGGCACCGAGAUGCAUAACUGCAAGCAGUUACUGCAACUCGGUGUGACCGAAAAGUUCAAAUCGGUUGCACCGAGAUUGAAAACCUAGAUCAACUUAGUGAUCUCGGUAUGACCGAAAUGGAUGGAUCGGUCAGACCGAAACGCACAAAGAGGUUUUGGAAGUUUAAGUCUAUGAUGAAUCGGGGACUCGGAGUGCUCCUCACAUAGAGUGGUUCUAAUCUGACUUGAUCAAAUUUUGUGAUGUAGCAUGAAUAGAGUUUGAGACAAGAAAAGCAUAGAUAGCUAGAGAAUGUUCUUAGGCAUUCUUGUCCAUCCACUUGGCAAAAGAAAAGAAACCAAACAAUCAAAACUACAAGUGGAUGUCCUCGAAUGAGUAAAAUAUGCAGCCAACAUGCUCACACAAUGAAAUGGAAAAUGAAAUAUGUGACAAAGCAUGCACAACCAUUCUAGCAUCUAUCAAGCAAUUGGCGAUGACUAGGUCACCUAUAUAUGAGUAUAUUGACUUAGGAGUCAAAUGAGAACAUUUGAUCAUAUGUCAUACUCAUCAUUUAAGCACAAGUGGGGUUACCGCUUUUACAUAAAGCAUUGUUGUGUUCAUGCCAUUAAAGUUGCUUUGGCUCAAUCCUUAGAGUAAAGCUCCCCUAGAUGUGAGAUCCCCCCUAAGAGGGAUGAACUAACCUUGGGUUUUGUCGAUGACGACUUCAUGUAGGUUUUGAAGAUGUGGAUGCUCAAUGUUGAUGUAGAUCAUUUGGAGUAAUCCUUUGGAGUGAGUUGCACUUUCAAUACCUACACGGGUUAGUCCCAUAAGGAACAAACAAGGAUAUCCAUAGACAUAGAGCGAUGCACACACAAGAUGAUGUCCAUGAAAGCAUUAGGUUACCUUGUCCCUUGUCUUACCAACAAGAGGGUUUGUGACUCCUUGAACUAGUGCAAGAUGUGGAAGUUGAUUGCACUUGUCCUUGCCAAAAUGAUAAGAGUGAAAUAUGUUGGCAGAGUCACCCUAAAAAACUCUCUAGUUCUUCUUCUUUGGGAUCCACAUCAUCUUGAUGGGAAUCCUUGGAGUUGUAGUUGUACUCGAUGAAGUAGAACUUGAUGUAGUCUUGGGAACCCACUUGACCAAGGCCUUAGGAGCUUCUUCAAAUGCAUCAAUCUCCUCUUGAAGCUUAUCCUUGCCUUUAUGCUUGUGGUCUUGUGGUGGAAGAUCAUCUUGAGCUUGUGUCCCUUUGAAAGAAGUAGGAUCAUACUUCUCUUGUUGAGGAACAAACGUCGUCUUGGGGUAUUGAUCUUCUUCCCACUCAACUCCAUUGGCAUUGAACUUUCGUUCAAAACCAACACCUUGGUUCUUCUGGUGCCUUCCUUGCUUGCGUACAAUUUCCUCGAAUUGCUUACUCCCGGCAAGGCUCUUGUAAACACCUUUCUCUAUAAUUCCCUUCAAUAAGCUAUUUUCUUGCUCAAGUGUAACUUGGCUAAGAGAUUCAUUAGUGGAAUCAAGAGAACUACUAGAAGCAACAACAUUAGAUUUAGCAUGAUUAUUGUUACUACUAGAGGAAGAAUCUUUCUUGUUCUUGUUACUAGAUUGACUUGAGGCAUGUAAGUAGAUAAGAGUAAAUGCUUGGCAAUGUAAGAAGAACUUUUCUUGUGAAGAUGAUCAUUGAUUGCUUUUAAAAACUCAUGUUCUUGCUCAAGGUUAAGCUUUUCAAAGCGUAACUUCUCAUGAGUCCUUAAAAGUUCUCGAUGAUCUCCUAAGAUAGUUUCAUGAGCUAACUUAAGAGUGUUUAGUUCUUUAGUUAGGAGCUCAAUAUUCUCCUUAUCAUUGUCAUUCAUUUUAUCUUGAUUAGCAUGAUUAAUUGACAUUUCAUCAUAGUAUUCAUCACUAGAGUUGUCAACAAGUAAAUCAUCAUCACCUAACAAGUCAUCUUCAUCACUAUUGAAAUCAACAUACUCGGGGUGUGAUACCUUUGGGCCUUUAGCCAUGAAGCAUCUUCCAAGUCCUUCAUUUGGUGAAUCAAAUAUGUCGUAGGAGUUGGUUGAUGCAAGUGCUAGACCGGCAACACCUUCAUCUUGAGUAUAUUCAGAAUCGGAGUGAUAGUUUCUCUCAGAGUGAUUGUCGGAGUUGGAGCCGGAUACCCAUUCACCAACAUGAGCUUGAUGUCUUUGUUUUGUGUAGCUCCUUGAUGACUUGUCCUUCCUUUCCGAAUCCUUGCUUCUUCGGGAUGUUCAUCGUUCAUAACGAUCAUAUCUACUCCUUCUCUCUCUUGAUGGUGAUCCUUCUCUUCUACUUCUUCUUUUUGGAGAAUCUUCUCUUCUUUUGUAGGAUGCCGUACACUCAUUGGAAUAGUGUCCGGGUCUUCCACAAUUGUAGCAAUUACGCUCACAACUAGAAGAUCUUUUGUCAUUGUAAGACCUUGACUUGGAACUUCUUUCCUUGCUUCUACUCUUGUAGAACUUGUUGAAGUUCUUCACCAUUAGGCUCAAUUCUUCAUUGAAGGUUUGUUUCUCACUUGAUGAUGUGGGAGCUUCACAUGAGGCUUUGUAAGAACCACUUGACUUGUUGUGGAGCUCCUCCUUAUCCUUGAGUGACAUCUCAUGAGCAACAAUUCUUCCAAUGACUUCCGUUGGCUUGAGAUCUUUGUAAUUGGGCAUCAUUUGGAUCAAUGUGCACACAGUAUCAUAUUUUCCGUCCAAAGCUCUUAGGAUCUUCUUGAUGAUGAAUUUGUCGGUCAUCUCUUCACUUCCUAAGCUGGCAAUCUCAUUUGUAAUAAGAGCAAGCCUAGAGUACAUUUCGGCGACGCCUUCACCAUCCUUCAUUUUGAACUUGUCAAGCUGACUUUGAAGCACAUCCAACUUGGAUUCCUUGACGGAAUCAGUACCUUCAUGCAUAUCAAUCAAAGCAUCCCAAAUUUCCUUUGCAUUCUCAAGAUGACUGAUUUUGUUGAAUUCUUCGGGGCACAAUCCGUUGAAGAGGAUAUCACAAGCUUGAGCAUUGUAUUACAACAUCUUCAACUCUUCCGCGGUAGCUUCACGGUUCGGUUCUCUCCCAUCAAAGAAUUCACCUUGCAAGCCAAUACACACAAUAGCCCAAAUGGCGGGGUUAUGUGCAAGAAUAUGCAUUUUCAUCUUAUGCUUCCAACUAGCAAAAUUAGUACCAUCAAAGUAAGGACCUCUACGGUGGUAAUUUCCCUCGCUAGACGCCAUACUCACCUAGGUUGUGAAACCAAGGCUAUGACCACCAAAAGGUAUGAAGAUCAAAGCAAAUGGAGACCAAAGCUCUGAUACCACUCGUAGGAUCGAAAGUAUGUCUAGAGGGGUGGGGGUGAUUAGACUACUUGACCAAAUAAAAAUCUAUCCUUUUCCCAAUUUUAGUUCUUGGCAGAUUUUAGCAACUUAGCACAAUGCAAGCAAUCUUAACACAAUUCAAGCAAGCAUGCAAAGAGUAUAUGAGCAGCGGAAAGUAAAGCAUGCAACUUGCAAGAAUGUAAAGGGAAGGGUUUGGAGAGUGUAAACACAAUAGGAGACACAGAUGUUUUUGUCGUGGUUCCAAUAGGUGGUGCUAUCGUACAUCCAUGUUGAUGGAGACUUCAACCCACGAAGGGUAACGGCUGCGCGAGUCCACGGAGGGCUCCACCCACGAAGGGUCCACGAAGAAGCAACCUUGUCUAUACCACCAUGUCCGCCGCCCACGAAGGACUUGCCUCACUAGGGGUCGAUCUUCACGAAGUAGGCGAUCUCCUUGCCCUUACAAACUCCUUGGUUCAACUCCACAAUCUUGUUGGAGGCUCCCAAGUGACACCUAGCCAAUCUAGGAGACACCACUCUCCAAGAAGUAACAAAUGGUGUGUUGAUGAUGAACUCCUUGCUCUUGUGCUUCAAAUGAUAGUCUCCCCAACACUCAACUCUCUCUCACAUGAUUUGGAUUUGGUGAAAAGAAGAUUUGAGUGGAAAGCAACUUGGGGAAGGCUACAGAUCAAGAUUCAUAUGGUAGGAAUGGAAUAUCUUGUCCUCAACACAAGUGUGGGUGGUUCUCUCUCAGAAAAUGUAUGUUGGAAGUGUAGGCAUGUUCUGAUGGCUCUCUCCACGAAUGAAGAGUGGGUGGAGGGGUAUAUAUAGCCUCCACACAAAAUCUAACUGUUACACACAAAUUACCAAUCUCGAUGGGACCGAAUUGAGAAACUCGGUCGGACCGAUUCAGCAAAUAAUGUGACCGUUAGGACUUUCGGUGGGAUCGACAUGCAACUCGGUAGUACCGAUAUGGUUAGGGUUAGGGCAUAACGUAAUCUCGGUGAGACCGAUUACACAAACUCGGCGGGACCGAUUUUGGUAAAGAACACACAGAGGGUUGGUCAGGCAGACUCGGUGGGACCGAUUCGCUCAUCUCGGUAAGACCGGAACAUUACGAAAAGGAAAUAGAGAGUUUGCAUUGUAAUCUCGGCGUGACCGAUCGCUCAUCUCGGUUUGACCGAAACGUUACGAAGGGAAACAGAGAGAUUACAACCCCAUCUCAGUGAGACCGAGAUCCCUAUCGGUGAGACCGAUUUUCCUAGGGUUUGUGGCAGUGGCUAUGACAUCUGAACUCGGUGGCGCCGGACAGGAAAAAUCGGUGGGGCCAAGUUGGACUUAUGGUUUGGGUCAUAUGUGGAUGUGAAAAAGUAGUUGAGGGCUUUGGAGCAUAUCACUAAGCACUUUGAGCAAGAAAGCCAUUAAGCAACACCUCAUCCCUCCUUGAUAGUAUUGGCUUUCCUAUAGACUCAGUGUGAUCUUGGAUCACUAAAAUAGAAAAUGUAGAGUCUUGAGCUUUGAGCUUGAGCCAAUACUUUUGUCCUUAGCAUUUUGAGGGAUCCACUUUUCUCAUCCAUGCCAUGCCAAUCAUUGAGCUUUCCUGAAAUAUUUAUCUUGAAGUAGCAUUAGCUCAAUGAGAUAUAUGUUGUUAGGAAUUACCAAAACCACCCAGGGAUAGUUGCACUUUCUGGGUCACCGUGUCCCGCUCUUCGGCAUCCGAGGUAUUAUCCUCGGGCGCCUUCUGGACGGCCUCGUCCACCCCUCUCCGGCCAGGAGAGGUCCUUUGGGAUAACACCUCGAUGUCCUCCAUGGCAGGGGGGAGAGGGCUCGUGAUGGUCUGUUGCUCUCCGCCUCUCCAGGCGCCAGAGAAUUCCCCGACGAAGAUGCAGGAUAUUGCGCGGAGGGCUAAAAUACUAGCAAAGUUACAAUUUAUACAAAGGCGGGUAAACGGAAGCUGAACAAGUAAGGUUUUCGAUGCUUACAAUUCGGCCAGGGGCUUAACCCCGAGGGCUCUCCUUGGGCUGUGUUUGGACUCCGAGACCGAACAUACUGAGAGGGUAACCUUCUUCCUCUUUGGCGUUGCCUCCUCCGGAUCCUUGGAGGCUGUCCUCUUAUUCCUCCUCGUGAUGCGAGGGGAGUCGCUCUCCACUUCCUCCUCCUCCUCUUCGUCCUCGUCUUCCUCGUGAGAAGAGACGACGUCGAUCUCUUCGGAGACAACAUACGAAGACCUCUACAGCGGGGCCCGCCCUUGGGCUCCUUGCUCUUCUUCUCUGGCGCUUGGUAGGGUGUCGGGACCAGCAUCUCCUCCAGCUGAGGAGUGACUGGGUAUUCGGGCAAUGGAGCCAGACUUUUAAUCCGCUCCGCCUUCUUUGUCCAGCCCUGUAUAGAGGUGGCUGGAUUUGUAUUGAUCUAAUAUAUAGGCUGGACAUAUCUUUGGAAAAUUAACACUUACCGGAGUGGCCGGAUUCUCGGCAUCGAGACCGACGUCUUCGGUCUCCAUGGGCCAGCUCUUCUGUGCCUUGAAAAGUAGCUUCCACAUUCCCUCGUGCAUCGUGCCGAGGAGGUGCUGCAAAGUCCGCGACUCCUCUGGAUUGAACUCCCACAUGGGGGAAGUUCGGCGUUGGCAGGGGAGGAUGCGGCAAAAUAGCAUGAUCUGCACCACAUUGGUGACACUCAGCAUGUUGGUGAUACACGUCUGCAGCGUCUGCACCUCUGCCUGGGACCCCCAGCCGAGGCCCUUUGCGGUCCAGGAAAUGAGCGUCAUGGGGGGUCCGGAUCUGAACUCCGGAAUCAUCGCCCACUUGGUGCGGCGCGGCUCGGUGAUAUAAAACCACUCUUGUUUCCAGAUCUUGACGGUCUCAACGAAGGCCCCCUUGGGCCAUGUGGCAUUGGGCAGCUUGCUUAUCAUGGCCCCGCCGCAGCCCGCAUGUUGCCUGUCGACCACCUUCGGCUUCACAUUGAAGACUUUCAGCCAUAGGCCAAAGUGUGGGGGGAUGCGGAGUAGAGCCUCACAUACGACGAUAAACGCCGAGAUGUGGAGGAAAGAGUUUGGGGCUAGAUCAGGAAAAUCUAGCCCGUAAUAGAACAUGAGUCCACAGACGAAGGGGUGGAGUGGAAAACCUAACCCUCUAAGGAAAUGGGGGGAGAAAGACGACCCUUUCGCUGGGCUCCGAAGUGAGGAUGAUCUGACCCUUGGUGGGGAGCCUGUGCGCGAUGGUUGCGGCUAGGUAUCCCACACUCCGAAGAUCCUUUAUCUCCCUCUCCGUGACGGAGGAGGCCUCCCACUUGCCUUUGGAACCGGAUCAGGCCAUGGUCGGAGGUGGUGGUGGUGGUGAGGAAGACGAAAAAAUUUCGGGCGCUUAGAGCUUGGGAGAUUGGAAGGCUGAGGAGAUUGGAGGGCAUGGGGAAGAGAGGGGUAAUCCAUUGCCCUCUUAUAGGCGGUAAAAAUGCCAACGGUCCCCCCCACUUAUGCCUUGAAACUCGCCUGUUCCCAACGUAAGCAUGCGCCGUAAAUGGUUGGAUUACCCAAAUCUUAUUGAUGAGAAAUCCCGUAAUAAGUGGGCACGAUCUCUGUUUUGACAAGACGGGCCAAGGGGGCUUGGCCUCGGAACACGGAACACGGGGUGUGAAAACAGUUCAAAAUGCUGAAGGGUCAAGUCUGGCGCUUCGCCGGAAAAAGUUGUCAGUGAAGACACUGUUGCUAUUUUUUAUAUAUAUCCUGCCUUCACGGCUAAGGGUUGUGUUGAUUACGCAAGGCCAGAUACAGUAAUUUUAUGGAGGAAAGCUGAUGUGUAUUCUUGAUAACCCACAAGUAUAGGGGGUCGCAACAAUUUUCGAGGGUGGAGUAUUCAACCCAAAUUUAUAGAUUCGACACAAGGGGAGCCAAAGAAUAUUUUAAGGUAUUAGCAGCUGAGCUGUCAAUUCAACCACACCUGGAGAUUAAUUAUCUGCAGCAAAGUGAUUAGUAGCAGAGUAGUAUGAUAGUUUUGAUGAUAGCAGCAGUAGUAACGGUAGCAGUAACAGCGAUAGCAGUGAUAUUGUAGUAGUAACGAUAGCAGUAGCAAUAGUAGUAACUUAGCAAGAACAAUAUAAGAUAAAUUCAUAGGCAUUGGAUCGGUGACUCAUUGGAUGAUAUUCAUCAUGAGACAAUUAUAACCUAGGGUGAUACGGCACUAGCUCUAGUUCAUAAAUAUAAUGUAGGCAUGUAUUCUGUAAAUAGUCAUACGUGCUUAUGGAAAGAACUUGCAUGACAUCUUUUGUCCCACCCUCCCGUGGUAGUGGGGUCCUAUUGGAAACUAAGGGAUAUUAAGGCCUCCUUUUAAUAGAGAACCGAAACAAAGCAUUAGCACACGGUGAAUACAUGAACUCCUCAAACUACGGUCAUCAUCGAGAGUGGUCCCAACUAUUGUCACUCCGGGGUUGCCAGAUCAUAACACGUAGUAGGUGACUAUAACUUGCAAUAUCAGAUCUAGAGCAUGGAUAUAAUGGUGAUAACAUAAAUGGUUUAGAUAUGAAAUCAUGGCACCCGGGCCCAAAGUGACAAGCAUUAAGCAUGGCAAAGUCAUAGCAACAUCAAUCUCAGAAAAUAGUGGAUACUAGGGAUCAAGCCCUAACAAAACUAACUCGAUUACAUGAUGAAUCUCAUCCAACUCCUCACCGACUAGCGAGCCUACGAAGGCAUUACUCACUCCCGGUGGGGAGCAUUAUGAAAUUGGCAAUGGAGAUGUGUUGGUGAUGAUGAAGAUCGAAGAUGCCCCUGUCCGGAGCCCCAAUCGGACUCCAUAUCUGGCCUCCCGAUAAAGAACAGGAGACGGCGUCGGCUCCGUCUCGUGAAACGUGAUAAUUCUUUCUCCCUGAUUUUUUUUCCUGGAAAUAUGGGAUUUUAUAGCGUCGGUUUGAGGGUCAGCAAGGCCAGCAGGUGGGUGAUACGUCUCCAAUGUAUCUAUAAUUUUUGAUUGUUCCAUGCUAUUAUAUUACCCCUUUUGGAUGUUUAUGGGCUUUAUUUUGCACAUUUAUAUCAUUUUGGGACUAACCUACUAACCGGAGGCCCAGUCCGUAUUGCUGUUUUUUUACCUAUUUUAGUAUUUCAAAGAAAAGGAAUAUCAAACGGAGGCCAAACAAAAUGAAACCUUCGGGAGCGUGAUUUUUGGAACAAACGUGAUCCAGAGGACUUGGAGUGCAAGUCAAGAAGCAGCCGAGGCUCCCACAAGAUAGGAGGGCGCGCCCCCUUGUCUCGUGGGCCCCUCGGGCGUCCACCGACGUACUUCUUCCUCCUAUAUAAGCCUACGUACCCCGAAAACAUCCGGGGAGCAACCGAAACACAAUUUCCACCAGCGUAACCUUCUGUAUCCGCGAGAUCCCAUCUUGGAGCCUUCGCCGACGCUCCGCCGGAGGGGAAUCAACCAUGGAGGGCUUCUACAUCAACAUCCUUGCCCCUCCGAUGAGUUGUGAGUAGUUUACCACAGACCUACGGGUCGAUAGUUAUUAGCUAGAUGGCUUCUUCUCUCUUUUUGGAUCUCAAUACAAUGUUCUCCCCCUCUCUUGUGGAGAUCUAUUCGAUGUAAACUCUUUUUGUGGUGUGUUUGUCGAGAUCCGAUGAAUUAUGGGUUUAUGAUCAAGUUUAUCUAUGAAUAAUAUUUGAAUCUUCUCUGAAUUCUUUUAUGUAUGAUUGAGUUAUCUUUGCGAGUCUCUUCAAAUUAUCAGUUUGGUUUGGCCUACUAGAUUGAUCUUUCUUGCCAUGGGAGAAGUGCUUAGCUUUGAGUUAAAUCUUGUGGUGUCCUUACCUAGUGACAGAAAGGGUUGCAAGGCACGUAUUGUAUUGUUGCCAUCGAGGAUAACAAGAUGGGGUUUAUAUCAUAUUUCUGAGGCGAUGGAAGCGCGGGGCUGCUCUGGCGAUUUGGGCGACGGCGCCGGUGCGCCUCCCCUCCCCGAUGCUCCCUCCGCCACCGCUCCCCCCGAGCCGGCCGGGGUGACGCGGCCGGUGCUGCCCCCCACCCUGGCCGCUCCGGCGUUGGCCGGUUCCGCCACUCCCUCCCCGUCCCGCUUCUGCUGGGCGGACUGUGCGGAUGACCCGCCGUUCCCGCCGGCCGCCCCCCCCUCACCGCCCUUUCCGCCUUGGCCCCUCGCUGCGCCGUGGCGCCUCGCCGGGCUGGUGGCUCAGCCUCCCUCGUGCGGGGUUCUGUCGCUGCCUCGCGGGCUCCGCGGCCGCCGGCGACGCCCUCGGGCCGAUCUCGGUCGGACGGGGCCAAAGGCCUGGCCUUGGCUGGUGGUGCGCCUCGCCGCCGUCGCGGCCUCGCCUAGGGCGUGGCUGGCCGCUCCGACCGGGGGGCCGCCCGCUCCUCCUGGUGUCGCCCGUCGGCGGCGGUCCGGCCGCUGCCCCCCUGCCCUCCGCGGCCCUAUCUCCCCCUCCGGCCUCGGCGGCGCCCUCGAGAAGCUCCCCCUUCCGCCCCUUCAUAGCCUGCUUCGGGACGUCAGCCCUCCGGUUCUACGCGCCGCGCUCCCCCCGCGCCGUCUUGCUGGCUCUUGCCGGCGGCAGCGGCGGCGCCUGCCCUGGGAGCGGUCUCCCGUCAGGGGAGGGUGAGUGCCCGCCCAAUAGGCCAGGCCGCCUCGCCCGGGGAUCCUGGGCCCCGGCCCAUCCCUGCUCAAGGGCCCGUCCGAUGGCCUGCGCUCCCCUUCACUGGACUCCUUCUCGGUGGCUGGGCCGCAGGUUUGCCCUAGGCCUAGUAAGAUCAUACACUCGCUCUGCCUGCUAUACGGUCUUCCUCGGCCCCCAGCUCCCCCCGCAGCCGCCGCGUCUCGUCUCCCUGACCCGAUCCCCCUCGGCGUCGCCCCGAUCACUCCCGUCCCUGCCCCUCCCCCGGUCCGGCUCCUUCCCGGCCCUCUGGCGCCCUGUCCCUCCUCGCCGCCCGCGUCCCCCCUCACAGCCGCGUCCCCCCAUGCCGCGGGAGUGGGGCGAUGGGGCGGUCCUCGCCAAACGCCGGGUCGGCGAUCGCCAAGACUGCUCGCGGCCCUCCCCCGACUCCUUGCGGCGUGAAGAGGAGCUCCGUCGGGAGCUCCGGGAUCUGCGGGAGGGGCGCCGCUCUCCGUCCCGUCCCUCUCCGCCCCGCCGGGAGGGCCGGGGUCAUUCCCGCUCCCCUCGCCCGGCCACCUCGGGAGACUGGCGUGCGCGCCGGCACUCCCCGUCCCCUCCUCCUCGCCGGGGACACUCGCCCUCUCCUCCCCGGCCCGCGGGGCCUACCUCACCCCGCGCGUCGGCCCCAACGCCUUCCGAUGCUCCUCGCCGUUACGUGCCUCCCCAUGCGGCUUCGGCCGCACCCCCGGCCACGGUCUCGGGUGGUGGCACUGCUCGUGGACGUCUGGGUCCAGCAAAGAAGCAAAAGCGCCAGGGUGCCCGUGGUGCCCCUCCCGUGCCUCCCCCAGCGGCGCCGGGCUCCGCAUCCACCCCCGGGCCCGUCUCCGGCCUCCCCCGCCCCCCUGCUUCAACUGUGGAGUGGGGGGCCCCUCUCAGGUCAACUGCGUCAACCCCCAGUGCUGCUACCUCUGCAAGGACCCGGGACACCCCGCUCUCCUGUGCCCCGAUAGACCGAUGGUGUCGGAGCUCAUGAUGUACGGCCAUGGCAUCGAGGGAUUGGGCUUCUUCCACCUUGAGGUCCCUGAUGUCCAGCCGCCUUCGCCGACCCUCCAGGCGGUCGUCACUGUGGUGGAGGGGGUGGCCUCCCCCGAGAUGAUUGAGCGGAGCUGAACCACCUCUACCGCCGCCAGUGGGACUGGGUGGUCACCCUUUCCGCUGGCCACAUCUUCACCGUCGUCUUCCCCGACUCUGUCAGCUACGGCUACGCGACCCGCAGUGGCCGGAUCACGCUCGCCCUCAACCAGCUGGUCGUCGACAUCUCUGACCGAUUCUUGAUGCCCAGGCGGUGGCCGUUCUUGACACCGCUUGGAUCCUUGUCGCCGGCCUCCCUGACAUUGCGCGGUCGAAGCUCGUCAUCCGCCAGAUGUCCCGCCUCCUGGGCAAGGUGGUGGUGGUCGAUGAGCUCUCGCUGCGCAAAGAGGAGGAGGUUUUGGUCAAGGUCAAGUGCCUCGACUCCUCCAAGCUCCGCACCAUCGUCCGCGUGUUCUUCAACGACCAGGGCUUCGACCUCAGGAUCUCCCCUGAGCCUCCCAACCACGUCGGCCGCCCCCGCUCCUUGGACGCCGGCCUCCCGGGUGGCAACCCAGGGGCGGACGGCGACUUCCGUGGUCGCCACCAUGCUCGCUCGCAUCACUUUGAUGAUGAGGGGGGAUCAGAGGACUCCCGCUCCCCUUCCCCCUCGCCUCCGCCGCCGGCUGCCGGGGGCAAGGGUCGCCAGGCUGCUCCCCUCCUAGCGCUCGGUGACCCCCUGGUCCACAUGGCAUCUUCCUCCGAGGAGAGCGACAUCUCUAGUGUCGGCCUGGUCGUCUGCCCGGCUUCUUCCCCACGCUCCCCCUCUUCGGCAGAUCUCGUUUCACCGGGUCCGGAGCUGGCCCCCCUCCCGGCUGCCACUCUGGAUCCCGGUCAGCUGCUCCCCGCGCCGUCGGCUCCCCCUAAGGUGGCUGUAGCCCUGGGGCUCGACGCCCACCCCCCGGCGUCCCCCCUCGUGACCGCUCAGCCUCCUCCCCCCGAGGCACUCCCGCCUCUGCUGCUCCCUCCCUCAGCUCCGACCACGACACCGACCCUCCUCAGCUACGCAGGGCCCAACCUUCUGGCCUCUCCCGCUGGGGCCUUGACCUUGGAUGGGGAGGCCAGGGUGACCACCCCCGUGGCCGCCCAGCCACCCCCUCCUCGGUCUGCUGCCUACUCUCGCCGGGGCAGAUCGGCUUCCUCCCCGGUGACGGCGUCUCGUCGGAGUGCUCGGCUGGAUGCUGCUCAUCCCGAGGGCAGUCCGGCUCUGCCCAUCUCUGAGCGGGCGGAGAUCCGGGCCGCUGCUCGGAACCUGGAGCCAGGUAUGCCCACCGUCCCCCCUCGGCGUCAUCUUGCUCCUUCUCUGCUCUCGAGUCGAUCCCCCUUGGCAACCUUGUGAAGGUGGACUCGGAUUCUGCGAUCAUUUUUCGGGGGGAAUCUGGCCCCCCUUAGCCCAGAUUGCGGCGAUCUGCGCCCGUGAGAUCCUGGAUGGGGAGCUCGCGGAGGCCCGUGCGGCUCUCGUCUUGCCCCCUGUCCCUCCCCCCUCCAGGGAGAACUCUCUGCCGGCCGAGCCGCGGCAGAUCGGUCCUCCUCCCCCGAUGGGAGUGACCGAGAUCCGGGGCCGCACCCGUUCCCGCACUGCGGCUCUCCGGGACCAAAGUGCCUCUCGUGUUCUGGGGUCAAGCAGCCCCCAAUGGCUCCUUAAUGCGUGCUCUAUUCUGGAACAUCCGCGGUUUCGUCCAUGAUGGCCGACGCCGCCAACUCAUCGAGUACAUGCGUGACGAACACAUUGACAUUGUCGCCAUCCAGGAGACCAUGCGACUUGAAUUCUCGCUUCCUGAGCUCGACCGCCUGAGCUCCCACCUCUUUGCGUGGCAUUGGCUCCCUUCUAGUGGGAACGCCGGCCACUCGGGUGGCAUCCUUUUAGACGUAAAGGAUGCCACCUUUGAGGUGGGCAGCAUGGACCAGGGGGAGUUCUUCGUGAGCAUGGAACUUUUCGAGAGGUCCCUCAACUUCAAGUGGAGGUCAUCAUUGUCUACGGGCCUGCAGACCAAAGUCAGUAUGCCGCCUUUCUCGAGGAGCUCCACCGGAAGAAUUCCUCGGCCCCCCUCCCGGUGGUGGUUGGUGGCGAUUUUAACCUCCUCCGCGUGGUGGAGGACAAGAGCAAUGCCAAUGUCUGCUUUACCCGGAUGCAGAUGUUCAAUGACUUCAUUGCCGACCUUGGCCUCCGUAAGAUUGACCGGAUUGGUGCCAGAUUUACCUGGAGCAACCGGCAAGCCUCCCCGAUCCAGUCCGUCCUGGACCGGGUCCUAGUGUCCUCGGAAUGGGACCUCCGUUGCCCCUUAGCUUCCCUCCACGCCAUCACCAGGAUUGGCUCGGACCACGUCCCCCUUCUCCUCUCUUUUGCUGACGAGCGCCCUCCCGUCCCCCCCAGAUUCUGGUUCGAGACAUUCUGGCUCUCUCAAACCGGUUUCACUAAGGUGGUUGGCUCUCGGUGGAUCGAGGCUCGCUCCCAUCCCCACCCCCACCCCCCUCGGCCAUUGACUCGUGGCACUUCUGUGCGAAGCGCGCCCGUCAGCUCAUGAAGGGGUGGGGGGAUAAUCUGGGGCGCGACCUUCGUGAGCGUAAGAAGUCAUUGUUAUCAGCAAUCCAGACCCUUGACCUGCGCGCUGAUACUGUUGGGCUUUCUCCAGAUGAGUGGCUGUCCCGGUACGACCUCGAAAACCAGCUCUCCGUGAUCUAUACCGAUGAGGAGGCCUAUUGGCGCCUCCGGGGGGCUCAGAAGUGGGUAUUGAAAGGCGACGCGAAUACGACAUACUUCCAGGCCAUUACCAAUGGCCGCCGUAGACGCAAUACCAUCCCCCUCUUGUGGGAGGGGGAGACACUUCUGCAGUCCCCCCACGACAUCCGGUCUCACGUCGACGGAUUCUAUAGAUCCUUGUUCUCAGCUGCUCCUCGGAGCGGCCUUUAUCUUGCCCACGACUGUUGGGCCGGAUCCCAGUUGGUGUCUGAUGUGGAGAACUCGGCCCUAACGGCCCCUUUCUCCGAGUAGGAGGUUUGGGAGGCCAUUAAGGGCAUGAAUUCCUCCUCUGCACCGGGUCCGGAUGGCCUUCCUGUGAGAUUCUUCCAGGCCUUCUGGAACGUGAUUAAACCGGAGGUCAUGGCUAUCUUCGAUGAGUUCUACGUUGGCUCCAUUGACCUCGGGCGACUCAACUACGGGAUUAUCUCGCUCAUCCCGAAGGUUGCCGGGGCGUCUGACAUUCGUCAAUUUCGGCCGAUUACGGUCAUCAACAUCAUCUUCGGGAUCCUGGCUAAAGGGUACGCCAAUAGGGUGACCUUGCUGGCCGACCGUGUCACGCACCCCAACUAGACGGCUUUCAUUAAGGGCCGGUACAUCCUGGAUGGGGUCCUAGUCCUUCAUGAAGUCCUCCAUGAGGUCCGCUCCAAAAACCUCAAGGCGGUCUUCCUGAAGAUUGACUUUCAUAAAGCCUAUGAUACGGUUAGCUGGUCCUUCCUUAGGGAGGUCCUUCUUCGGAAGGGCUUUGACGACCGGUGGGUUACUCGUGUCAUGCAAAUGGUCACGUGCGGUCGUACGGCCGUGAACAUCAACGGCGAGAUUGGCCCCUUCUUCCCUACCCUAUGUGGGGUUAGACAAGGCGAUCCCUUCUCCCCGUUCUUGUUCAAUAUGGUCGUAGACGCGCUAGCAUCCAUCCUUGAUAAGGCGAAAGCCGCGGGCCAUAUUCGUGGGAUCACUCCCCACCUCGCCGGGGGCUCUGGGAUAUCCAUUCUCCAGUAUGCCGACGACACUAUCAUUAUGGUUGAAGGCUUGAAGAACGAUAGCACCAACCUCAAGUUCCUUCUCCUCUGCUUCCAGCAGAUGUCGGGUCUCAAGAUCAAUUUUGACAAGAGCGAUGUGAUGGUGAUGGUAUACCCCCCUGCCGAGUCUUUGGCCAUCGCCAACAGGCUUAAUUGCCGCAUGGGCACUUUUCCCACUACUUACUUGGGAACUUAAUCGUGUCGUGGACUUGCCGUCGUGGACUUGCACCCCUCAUUGGCCAAGCUGCAAACCCGCGUCGAACCCUGGCAGGGGCGGUGGUUGUCCAAAGUAGCCAGGACUAUUCUCAUCAAUUCUUCUCUCUCCAGUCUCCUCUUGUUCCUAAUGAGCUUCUACAGCCUCCACGAGACCCUCCACAAGGAGAUUGCCAAGAUCCAGUCCCGCUUUUACUGGGCGGCUGACAAGGAGAAGCAGAAAUACCAUAUGGUCAGCUGGCCUGACAUCUGCAAGCCCCGGGAGCAAGGGGGCAUUGGCAUCAUGUGCUCUAAACGGAUGAACAUUGCCCUCCUCUCCGUUGGCUCUGGCGAAUCUCGCAGGGACAUGGUGGUCUUUGGCUUGACAUCAUCCGGAACAAAUACCUGCGUGGGCAGCCUCUCGCCUUCUGCUAGAAGUCCGGAGGCUCUCAGUUCUGGCAGUCGAUCAUCCAGCUCCUUCCGGUCCUCCGUAUCGGGACAUCCAUCUCGGUGGGCGCGGGAUCUUCGACGCUGUUCUGGUUUGAUCGGUGGGCCGGGGACUCUCCCUUCGCGUCUCGCUUCCCUGGUCUCUUCUCCAUUGCCGUUGACCCUGUGAUCUCCAUUGAUAGGGCCCUUCUUGACUUAGGGCGCCUUGCUUUCCAGCGGGCCUUUGGUCCAAUGGAAUCCACCGCCUGGCGUGAGUUACUCGACUGUAUUGCUCUACACGAACCCUCGCUGGAUGGUGGGCCUGACCUAUUCCAGUGGCGCCUUGAACCUUCGGGCCAAUUCUCCACCAAAUCUCUCUACCUGGCCAUCGCACCAUCUGCCGCCCCUCUCCCUCUCUUGCUUGUCUGGUCCAUCCGCUUGCCGCUGAAGAUCCGUAUCUUCAUGUGGCAAUGGAUUCAUGGCCGGAUCCCGUCCGGGGUGGAGGUUCUCAAGCGCAAUGGCCCGGGCACUGUCCUCUGCCCUCUCUGCGGGGUUCCCAAAGAUUUGAACCACAUUUUCUUCUCCUACGUGUCCGCCCAGUUCCUCUGGAGUUGUUUUCGCGAAGUGGUCGGCGGAAAUUGGUGCCACACCAACUUCCCUGACUUAUUUGACGAACUCCAGUCGUCCCCCGCGACUUCUCGCCACAUUAGGUGGCUUGAGAUUGGGGUCCUCGCCUGGACCCUCUGUACUAUUCGCAAUAAGCUCGUGAUUCAGCGCACUCCUCUUCGGCGAUCUACUGACGCGCUCUUUAAACUCUCGAGUUUUUUGCAGCUUUGGCGGCCACUUAGCCGUCCCCUGGACCGUGACGCCAUCUCAGCCUUCAUCGCCGACCUCCGAUCGAUGGUCGUCCGCCUGUCGCCGCCUCCCCCGCCGCCUCCGCCGGAGCCAGACUAGACGUCUCCUUCGCCCGGCAUUUGCUGCCUUUUUUAUUUUUUGUUUGGGCUUGUUGAGCUAUGCCCUCAGCAGAACCUAUGUACUUGUUCGUGUGACUUGGGUGCGUGAGUGUGUAUGCACUUGACUCUGCUUAUUUGUCCUUGACGGUUUGCUUUAUUUAUAAAGCGGGGUGAAAGCCUUUUUUGAUAUCAUAUUUCUUGAGUUUAUCCGUCUACAUCAUGUCAUCUUGCUUAAUGCGUUACUCUGUUCUUAUGAACUUAAUACUCUAGAUGCAGGCAGGAGCCGGUCGAUGUGUGGAGUAAUAGUGGUAGAUGCAGUCAGGAGUCGGUCUACUUGUUACGGACGUGAUGCCUAUAUACAUGAUCAUGCCUAGAUAAUCUCAUAAUUAUUCGCUUUUCUAUCAAUUGCUCGACAGUAAUUUGUUCACCCACCGUAAUACUUAUGCUAUCUUGAGAGAAGCCACUAGUGAAACCUAUGGCCCCCGGGUCUAUCUCUUAUCAUAUUUGCUUCCAAUCUACCUUUAUUUGCAUCUUUACUUUUUUGCAUCUAUAUUAUAAAAUACCAAAAAAUAUAUUUAUCUUAUCAUACUAUCUUUAUUAGAUCUCACUUUCGCAAGUGGCCGUGAAGGGAUUGACAACCCCUUUAUUGCGUUGGUUGCGAGUUCUUUGUUUGUUUGUGUAGGUGCGGGGGAAUUUUGAGGAGCCUCCUACUGGAUUGAUACCUUGGUUCUCAAAAACUGAGGGAAAUACUUACGCUACUAUUGUUGCAUCACCCUUUCCUCUUCAAGGAAAACCAACGCAAGCUCAAGACGUAGCAAGAAGGAUUUCUGGCGCCGUUGCCGGGGAGGUCUUCGCUCAAGUCAAGACAUACCAAGUACCCAUGACAAACCCAUCUCCCUCGCAUUUACAUUAUUUGCCAUUUGCCUCUCGUUUUCCUCUCUCCCACUUCACCCUUGCCGUUUUAUUUGGCCUCUCUUUCCCAAUCUUCUCCUCUCUCUUUCUGCUUGCCUUUUUCCAUUUGCCCGUGUGUUAGUUCUUUUACCUUGUCAUUAUGGCUAGUCCUCCUAUCCUUAUUCUCACGCCCGAACAAGAAAUUCUCAAUUUUAAGCAAAGGGAGGGAGAAAAUUUAAAAGAUGCUUGGCAUAGAAUUUUCAAUGCCCAAUAUAAAUCUAUUAGGCAUCUUUCUACUUCCGUUCUUCUCCGCAAUUUUUAUGUAGGCAUCACUCCUUGGAAUAGAUGUGUUCUUGAUAUUGCUACCGAAGGUGAUUUCAUGAGUAGCCAUACGUUUGAUGCUUAUAAUGCUAUGUUAGAUUUGUUUGGCCCGCCACCUCUUUUGAUCAAUGGAACUGUUUUAACUUUAGAACAUGUUAUGCAACGGCUUGAGAUUAUUGAAAAUAAGAUUGCCACUGUUGAGUUGAUUGAAAACUUAGAUAAAAAGAUUCAUAAUCACAUCACCCAAUAUGGAUCUAGGGUUGGAGUUACUUUGAAAAAUCUUAAAUAAAAAGAACCUAUAGUCAAUGAAAAAAUAGAUCUAGACUCUGCUAGAAUUGGUAAACUUGAGGAUAUCAUUACAAAUUUAGGUUCCGCAUUUUCCUCCAUGAAAAACACUCCAAAACCCCCCACUAAAACUGCCAAUUUUAUUUAUGUUCCUAAAAAUAAGGGUGAAUCUUCUAGUAAGGGAGACGCGGAUCUCAAAUCCAUAAGUAUUCAUCCCAAUUGUCUCUCUCUAUUGUUAAGGAACCUUUUGCUACCAACGAAUUUCUUGAAUUUUUGCUAAAAAGGGAUAAACCCUCAUAGGUCACAAGUGCUCUACUUAUGAAUUUAGUGCCAAAGAUGGCACUCGUUAGAUCUAUCUUCGCUUUUAUGCCUAGCUAGGGGCGUUAAACGAUAGCGCUAGUUGGGAGGCAACCCAAUUUUCUUUAUGUUUUUUGUUUUUGUUCCUGUUUAGUAAUAAAUCUUGCAUCUAACUUCUGUUUAGAUGUGUUUUUAUCUUUUAAUUAGUGUUUGUGCCAAGUAGAACCUAUAGGAUAACCUAUGAUGAUGGUUGAUUUGAUUCUGCUGAAAAACAGAAACUUUGCGCGCACGAAUUUAGUUUUGUUAAAUCACAGAAACGUGCUUUUGCAUUAAUUAUUUUUUCUGCUGAUCAAUAAACAAAUUUUCCAGGACUUCCUAUUUUGGUAGGAUUUUUAGAGUUCCAGAAGUUUGCAUUAGUUACAGAUUGCUACAGACUGUUCUGUUUUUGACAGAUUCUGUUUUUCGUGUGUUGUUUGCUUAUUUUGAUGCAUCUAUGGCCAAUAAAAUAGUUUAUAAACUAUAGAUAAGUUGGAAUACAGUAGGUUUAACACCAAAAUAAAUAAAUAAUGAGUUCAUUACAGUACCUUAUGUGGUGGUUUUGUUUUCUUUCACUAAUGGAGCUUAUAAGAUUUCCUGUUGAGUUUUGUGUUGUGAAGUUUUCAAGUUUUGGGUAAAGCUUUUAUGGACUAUGGAAUAAGGAGUGGCAAGAGCCUAAGCUUGGGGAUGCCCAAGGCACCCCAAGAUAUUCAAGAAUAGCCAAAAGCCUAAGCUUGGGGAUGCCCCGGGAAGGCAUCCCCUCUUUCGUCUUCGUUCAUUGGUAACUUUACUUGGAGCUAUAUUUUUAUUCGCCACAUGAUAUGUGUUUUGCUUGGAGCAUCGUGUAUUAUAUUAGUCUUUGCUUUUUAGUUUACCACAAUCAUCCUUGCUGUACACACCUUUUGGGAGAAGCCUAUGUGCUUCACUUAUAUCUUUUGAGCUUGAUAGUUUUUGCUCUAGUGCUUCACUUAUAUCUUUUAGAGCACGGCGGUGGCUUAUUUUUGAAGAAAUUGCUAGUCUCUCAUGCUUCACUUAUGUCUUUUUGAGAGUCUUUUAGAACAGCAUGGUAUUUGCUAUGGUUACAAAGUUGGUCCUAGAAUGAUGAGCAUCCAAGUUGGGUAUAAUAAAAACUAUCAUAGGAAGAGAAUUGGAUGCUAUGAUCAAUUUGAUGCUUGAUAAUUGUUUUGAGAUAUAAAGGUAGUAAUGUUAGGGUCAUGCUAGUGGGUAAUUAUGAAAUUGAGAAAUAAUUUUGUUGAAGUUGGCAAGUCCCGUAGCAUGCAUGUAUGGUAAAAGUUGUGUGACAAAUUUGUUGCAUGAGGUGCUCUUUUGAUUGUCUUCCUUAUGAGUGGCAGUCGGGGAAGAUACCCGCUUAGCAUGGAAGAUACCGACUACCUUUCGUUGUUCCAUGAACGAUCCAUGCACACAAAAAGGAUAUUUAUUUUAAGUUUUUAGAGGUCGCACAUGCAAAUUUACUUAGGGCGGCAGGGUAAUAACGCAUAUAGGUAGGUAUGGUGGACUCAUCUGGAAUAACUUAGAUUUCAGGUUUUUGAUGUACAAACAGAGUUCCCACUUAGUACAUGCGAAGGCUAGCAAAUAGGUUGAGGAGCGGCCAGCUAGAGAGCAACAAUGGUCAUGAACAUGCAUUAUGCAUAAGUAACAUUGGACACUAGCAUGAGUAGGAUAUGAACACCAUGAACAUAAAUAUCAUAGAGGCCAUGUUGGUUUUGAUUCAACUACAUGCAUGAACAUGUGCCAAGUCAAGCCACUCGAACAUUCAGAGGAGGAUACCAUAUCAUCAUACUACACCACAAUCAUUUUAACGCAAUGUUGAUAUCCAAGAUAAGCCAUUAUUCACUCCUAGCUACUUAUGCAUGGCAUGAAACUAUAAUAUCUAAUUGUCAUUGCAAACAUGUUUGAUCAUAAUAGGCUGAAGCAUGGAUACUCGGAGAUACCAAAGAAACUUUUGGAACCUAAACUAGUGAACUCCGUUAGACCGAGUCACAGUUCAGUGGCACCGAUACUGCUAGGAUUUCACAAAGUCCUGAAUUCGGUCACACCGAUUUGCAAUUCUCGGUAAGACCAAGAAACACAUGUGCAAUGGCCUGAGCCAAAACGGUGGGACCAAUUUCUACAACUCGGUCAGUCCGAGAUGAGUUCGACGGAAACCUAACCCUAAAUUUUCAAUCCAAAACUAAUCUAUGGAGUGAUUUCGCUGGAUAGGAAGAUCUCAAUCGUGGCAAGAUACAUGGCAACACAAUGUGCUAGGAAUCGGAGUUGGGAAUAGCACAAAGAUUCAAAUCCAUACUCUAAUGCGGCGAUGGACUUGCUACGGCGGCAACGGCGGAGUAGAAUCCCGUUGACGGCGGCGGAGACCAGCGGCUGGAGGUCGCUGGCGACGAGGAGGAUGAUUCGAAGACCCGAGGAGGCAGAGCAGGCUGUGCGCGGGCGAAGAGCAGGUUGUAAACGCAUCGCCCGUAUGAGCGCAAAAAAUGAAUCGUGGAAAGAAAACUACUCACCCUCAUAAAAUCACGCAAUGCAUCCCUGUAAUCACGCACCAGAUAAGCACCAUCCCGACCCUCGCUCCCCGCCCCCCAGGGAGCAGGAGCCGCCGCACCCUCGGCCUCGUGUCGUGCCGCGCGUAGCAUGCCGUGCACAGUGCCGCCGCCGUGCCCCAGCCCACCGCCGCCCCUGUCUCGCCCCACGUGCGCCCAUGCUCCUGUUGAAGCCCCCUCCCGCCCUGUCACGCUUCCCGGGCCUGCCGUGCCACGCCUCGGUGCCUCCGUUCUGCACCCAGUGCCUCUUCUCUCUGCCGUGCUGAUACGUCUCCAACGUAUCUAUAAUUUAUGAAGCAUUCAUGCUAUUUUAUUAUCUAUUUUGAAUGAUUACGGGCUUUAUUAUACACUUUUAUAUUACUUUUGGGACUAACCUAUUAACCGGAGGCCCAGCCCAUAUUGUUGUCUUAUUGCCUGUUUCAGUAUUUCAAAGAAAAGGAAUAUCAAACGGAGUCCAAACGGAAUGAAACCUUCGGGAGCGUGAUUUUUAGGAAGAAUAUGAUCCAGGAGACUUGGAGUUCACGUCAGAAGAGCAUCGAGGAGGCCACGAGAUAGGGGGCACGCCCACCCCCUGGGCGCGCCCUACCCUCUCGUGGGCCCCUCAAGGCUCCCCUGACCGACUUCUUUCGCCUAUAUAAGCCUACGUACCCUAAAAACAUCGAAUAUCAAGAUAGAUCGGGAGUUCCGCCGCCGCAAGCCUCUGUAGCCACCAAAAACCUCCCGGGAGCCCGUUCCGGCACCCUGCCGGAGGGGGAACCCAUCACCGGUGGCCAUCUUCAUCCUCCCGGCACUCUCCAUGACGAGGAGGGAGUAGUUCACCCUCGGGGCUGAGGGUAUAUACCAGUAGCUAUGUGUUUGAUCUCUCUCUCUCUCGUGUUCUCUCUAUGGCACGAUCUUGAUGUAUCGCGAGCUUUGCUAUUAUAGUUGGAUCUUAUGAUGUUUCUCCCCCUCUACUCUCUUGUGAUGAAUUGAGUUUUCCCUUUGAAGUUAUCUUAUCGGAUUGAGUCUUUGAUUUGAGAACACUUGAUGUAUGUCUUGCCGUGUUUAUCUGUGGUGACAAUGGGAUAUCACGUGCCACUUGAUGUAUGUUUUGGUGACCAACUUGCGGGUUCCGCCCAUGAACCUAUGCAUAGGGGUUGGCACACGUUUUCUUGACUCUCUGGUAGAAACUUUGGGGCACUCUUUGAAGUACUUUGCGUUGGUUGGAUGAAUUUGAGAUUGUGUGACGCAUAUCGUAUAAUCAUGCCCACGGAUACUUGAGGUGACAAUGGAGUAUCUAGGUGACAUUAGGGUUUUGGUUGAUUUGUGUCUUAAGGUGUUAUUCUAGUAUGAACUCUUUGAUAGAUUGAUCCGAAAGAAUAGCUUUGAGGUGGUUUCAUACCCUACCAUAAUCUCUUCGUUUGUUCUCCGCUAUUAGUGGCUUUGGAGUGACUCUUUGUUGCAUGUUGAGGGAUUGUUAUAUGAUCUAUCUAUGUUAUUAUUGUUGAGAGAACUUGCACUAGUGAAUGUAUGAACCCUAUGCCUUGUUUCCUAUCAUUGCAAUACCGUUUACGCUCACUUUUAUCAUUAGUUACCUUGCUGUUUUUAUAAUUUCAGAUUACAAAUACCUUUGUCUACCAUCCAUAUUGCACUUGUAUCACCAUCUCUUCGCUGAACUAGUGUACCUAUACAAUUUACCAUUGUAUUGGGUGUGUUGGGGACACAAGAGACUCUUUGCUAUUUGGUUGCAGGGUUGUUUGAGCGAGACCAUCUUCAUCCUACGCCUCCCACGGAUUGAUAAACCUUAGGUCAUCUACUUGAGGGAAAUUUGUUACUGUCCUACAAACCUCUGCACUUGGAGGCCCAUCAACGUCUACAAGAAGAAGGUUGUGUAGUAGACAUCAAGAUCUUUUCUAGCGCCGUUGCCGGGGAGGUGAGUGCUUGAAGGUAUAUCUUUAGAUCUUGCAAUCGAAUCUUUUUGUUUCUUGUUUUAUCACUAGUUUAGUUUAUAAAAGAAAAUUGCAAAAAUGGAAUUGAGUUUGUCUCAUACGCUUCGUCUUUUUAAUAUCUUUUGUGAGAAUGACGGAAAGGAAAAUUGUGCUCAAGUGCUAGAAGAAGAAUGCAUUAAAAUAUUUGGUACUAGAUUGUAUGAUGAGCAUGAUUGCAAUGUUUUUAGUAUGAAUUCCUUGAAUAUCCAUGAUGCUAAUGAUAUGCAAGGCCACAAGCUUGGGGAAGCUAUGUUUGAAGAAAAUGAUAUUUUUUGUUCCCCAGGUUUUGAUGAGAAUAUUUAUUAUGAUGAAAGCAUGCCUCCUAUUUAUGAUGAUUAUAUUGAUGAAAGUGGGUUUGGAAGAGUGUCAACUUUAGGAAGUAGUGAUCCCACUAUUUUGGAGGAUGUUGAAUCUUAUUGUGAUGAACAUGAAAGUGGAUUUGGAAGAGUGUCAACUUUAUUUAGUGAUGAAUCCACUAUUUUGGAAGAGGUUCCAAUUGAUUAGGAGAACAAAGUUGCUAUCUAUGAUGAUUAUUGUGAUGACUUGUAAGCUAUUAGGAAUAAUGAUAACCAUUAAACUUGUCAUCAUGAUUUUAGUUUUCAAUUGGAUUAUGCCUCACAUGAUAAUUAUUUUGUUGAGUUUGCUCCCACUACUAUUCAUGAGAAGAAUUUUGCUUAUGUGGAGAGUAAUAAAAUUUCUAUGCUUGUAGAUCAUGAAAAGAAUGCUUUAGGUGCUGGUUAUAUUGUUGAAUUCAUUCAUGAUGCUACUUAAAAUUAUUAUGAGAGAGGAACGUAUGCUUGUAGGAAUUGCAAUAACGUCAAGUUUCCUCUCUAUGUGCUUAAAAUCUUGAAGCUAGGCUUAUUUUACCUUCCUAUGCUAGUUGAUUAUUGUUCCCAUAAGUUGUUUGCUCACAAAAUCCCUAUGCAUAGGAAGAGGGUUAUACUUAAAUAUGCUAGUCAUGUGCUUCAUGAUGCUCCCGUUACGUUUCAAUUCUUAUCUUUUAUGUGAGCAUCAUUGUCAUCAUCAUGCCUAGCUAGAAAGGCAUUAAAGAAAAGCGCUAGUUGGGAGACAACCCAAUAUUUAUCCUUACUGUUUUUGUGUGUACACAUGAUUAUGCUACUGUAGUAAUCAUGUUUUAUAGUUUUUGUUUCAAUAAAGUGCCAAGUAAGACCUUUAGGAUAGCUUACGGUGAUAGUUGUGUUGAUCCUGCUAAAAAUUAGAAACUUUUGCACCCAGUAAAUUAGUUUUGUUAAUUCACAGAAACGUGCUUAUGAUCUGAUUAUUUUUGCUCUGGAUUGUUACAUAAAUUUAUUAGGACUUCCUAAUUUGGUAGAAUUUUUGUAGUUCCAGAAGUAUACGUUUGAUACAGAUUACUACAGACUGUUCUGUUUUUCACAGAUUCUGUUUUCUAUGUGUUGAUUGCUUAUUUUGAUGAAUCUAUGAGUAGUAUCGGAGGGUAUGAACCAUAGAUAAGUUAGAGUACAGUAGAUAUUACACCAAUAUGAAUUUAUAAUGAGUUCAUUACAGUACCUAAGUGGUGGUUUUAUUUUCUUAUACUAACGGAGCUUACGAGUUUUCUGUUAAGUUUUGUGUUGUGGAGUUUUCAAGUUUUGGGUAAAGAUUCCAUGGACUAUGGAAUAAGGAGUGUCAAGAGCCUAAGCUUGGGGAUGCCCAAGGCACCCCAAGGCAAUAUUCAAGGACAACCAAGAGCCCAAGCUUGGGGAUGCCCCGGAAGGCAUCGCCUCUUUCGUCUUCGUUCAUCGGUAACUUUACUUGGAGCUAUAUUUUUAUUCGCCACAUGAUAUGUGUUUUGCUUGGAGCGUCAUUUUAUUUUGUUAGUAUUUUCUUGCUGUUAUAAUGUUUUGCAUCUUUAGUUUCAAUAAAAAUGUUAAGGAUAGCCUUUACCAUGCUUAUUUUGCUAGUAUACAUGUUGCUGUUUGAAAACAGAAAGUUUACCGCUGUUGCACAAAUUCCCUAGAAAAUUCAGAGCAUGAUAUAAUGUUGAAACUUUUUGCAUAAUGAGCUCUGAUAAAUAUUCUACAGUGGGAAUUUUAUUUCAUAAUUUUUGGAGUUAGGGAAGUAUGAUGAAUCUUGCAUUCUUUACAGACUAUACUGUUUUGGCAGAUUGCUGUUAUGGUUGCAUUGUUUGCAUAUGUUUGCUUGUUUAAUGAUUCUAUUUGAGGAUAAGAGUAUUAAAUAUGCAGAGGCAUUUAGUAUGAAAUGUUGAAUAAUAAUUUUAGUGAUUUGUUACAGUAGAAAAUGAUAAGUUUUUGCAUUGGUUUAUACUAACUUAUCUCACAAGUUCUUGUUGAGUUUGGUGUGGAUGAAGCUUUUGAUAAAAAGAGAAACCAUGAUAUGAGAGGAAUUAAGGAGACACAAAAGUUCAAGCUUGGGGAUGCCGAAGGCACCCCAAGAUAAUAUUUCAAGAAGUCUCAAGCAUCCAAGCUUGGGGAUGCCCCGGUAGGCAUCCCACCUUUCUUCUUCAACAAUUAUCGGUUAGUAUCGGUUGAGACUAAGUUUUUGAUUCUUCACAUGAGUUGUGCUAUCCUUGCAAUGCCAUUUUAUUUCUUUUGCUUGAUGUUUGAAUACAAUACCAAGAUCUGAAAUUCUUAAAUGUGAGAGAGUCUUUGCAUAGUUACACAAUUAUUUAGCUACUCAUUGAUCUUCACUUAUAUCUUUUUGGAGUAGUAUUUCAUUUACUCGUGUGCUUCACUUAUAUCCUAUGAGUAAAUGGUUGAAUGAGUUGAUUGUCAUAAAUCUGAAAUUAUAUAUGCCUCAUUUGCUUAUCCCAUGGGGUGUAUUGACUUCACAUCUAAGAGGUAGAGGUUGUAAAUUAAUUGAAGGUUAGCAAGCAUCGUAUUGGUCAUUUGAACAAUUUAUGAAAGAAUAUCGAAGGAAGAGAGAUUCCACAUAUAAAUACACUAUCCUAGACAUCUUUUAUAAUUGGGAGGACUCAUUAAGUAUGACAUGCUAAAGAGUUGAUUUUGGACAAGGAAGACAACGUAAUGGGUUAUGUUUUCGCACAUCUCAAUUAAAGUAUAUUGUUAUGGAUCAUUCAAACAUGUUGAGCUUGCCUUUCUCCCUCAUGCUAGCCAAAUUCCUUGCACCAAGUAGAGAUACUACUUGUGCUUCCAAAUAUCCUUAAACCCAGUUUUGCCAUGAGAAUCCACCAUACCUACCUAUGGAUUGAGUAAGAUCCUUCAAGUAAGUUGUCAUCGGUGCAAGCAAUAAAAAUUGCUCUCUAAAUAUGUAUGAUCUUUUGGUGUGAAGAAAAUAGCUUUAUAGGAUCUUGUUAUGGAAGCAACAAAAGCGACGGACUGCAUAAUAAAGGUCCAUAUACAAGUGGCAAUAUAAAAUGACGUUCAUUCGCAUUAAGAUUUUGUGCAUCCAACCCUAAAAGCGCAUGACAACCUCUGCUUCCCUCUGCGAAGGGGCGAUCUUUUACUUUAUGUCUUUUACUUUAUGCAAGAGUCAAGGUGAUCUUCACCUUUCCCUUUUUCAUUUUAUCCUUUGGCAAGCACCUCGUGUUGGGAAGAUCCUGAUAUAUAUAUCCAAUUGGAUAUAAGUUAGCAUGAACUAUUAUUGUUGACAUCACCCAAAGGUGAAUACGUUGGGAGGCAACACUAUAAGCCCCUAUCUUUCUCAGUGUCCGAUUGAAACUCCAUAACCAUUAGUAUUGCGUGAGUGUUAGCAAUUGUAGAAGACUAUAUGAUAGUUGAGUAUGUGGAGUUUGCUAUUCCUGAAAAUAAGAUGAAUUGCAAUUGUUCGAUGACUAAGAAUGAAGUUUUCUAGUUUUCAAGAAAGUUUAUGGUCUAUGCUUUGACAUGUGAAUUGCUUGUUAUUUUAUCAUGAGAAGUUUUAUGAGAUGAACUACUGUUAUGACAUAUUAUCAUGCUAGAAAAGGUGAUUGAAAUUAUCAUUUAUCAAACUUGUGCACCUUCUAGCAUUCACACUUCAUAAAUUCUUUCUUUUAUCAUUUACCUACUCGAGGACGAGUAGGAAUUAAGCUUGGGGAUGCUGAUACGUCUCCAACGUAUCUAUAAUUUAUGAAUCAUUCAUGCUAUUUUAUUAUUUGUUUUGAAUGAUUACAUGCUUUAUUAUACACUUUUAUAUUACUUUUGGGACUAAUCUAUUAACCGGAGGCCCAGCCCAUAUUGCUGUUUUAUUGCCUGUUUCAAUAUUUCGAAGAAAAGGAAUAUCAAACGGAGUCCAAACGGAAUGAAACCUUCGGGAGCGUGAUUUUUAGGAAGAAUAUGAUCCGGGAGACUUGGAGUUCACGUCAGAAGAGCAUCAAGGAGGCCACGAGAUAGGGGGGCGCGCCCACCCCCCCGGGCACGCCCUACCCUCUCGUGGGCCCCUCGAGGCUCCGCCGACCGACUUCUUUCGCCUAUAUAAGCCUACGUACCCUAAAAAAAUUGAAUAUCAAGAUAGAU